UAGCGACAGUGUAUCUGAUAGUAGUAUUUUGAGCCACUUGGCUAAAAGGGUAAAAAUGGUUCUUCAACUUCAUGUCAUUUUACUUGAUGCAAUAUUCUUUUUUUUUGGUACUUUAUUUCCGGGUUUGUUGUGGAGAGUAUUAGUCUGCACGCUCGUGGAUUUGGUGGAUUUAUGGACGUGAUGCAUAUAUAGAUGGUUGUUCCAUAUAUGUAUCAACCAUGAUUAUUUAUGCAGGAUAUAGUUAGCAAAUAUGUUAUCCUUCAACGCAAUUUUGAAAUAACAUAGUAAUAUGAGCUCAACUCUUGGUCGUGUUUUAUGAGGCAAGGUAAUCUAUAGUCCACUAAUGAAAAGUUUAGGAGUAUGAUUUAUAUGUUUCAAUCCGUGGGGUAGCAUAUGACAACCUAGUACUAGCCAAACAUUUGGUGGAACUCUGACAUGCAAAACUGACAAUUCAAGACAUAGUUGAUUAUCCAGUUGUGGAUGUGUGUAGUUUCUGGUUCUAAGUGGAUGUAUAACCUUAACUGAUUUUUAUCAAAAAAUUGGUAUUCAAACAGUACAAUAGAAAUAAGGAUAUCUAAUGAGCUUCUGUGAUCUAGUUGGGAAUUGUUGAAACAUAUGAGUCAAACACAUAUAGUGAAUCAUAAAAAAAAAGACAAAGGAUCCUUAGGUGGAGUAGGCAGAGUGUAAAGAUUAGUCUCACCUUUCCAAUAAAGAAAGAGUUGCAGCACCUUACAAUAGUUUGUACCCUUAACAUCCUUAACUAAUGCACGAGAGAACAGACAAACACAUGCGAUUACUCGACUCACCUCGCCAUGCCAUACAUGUGAGUCGUGGAGCGAGCCGAACUCAUCUCAUUACAUGUUUGAGAUUUUUCAUUGUAAAAGUAGAAUCUUUAAUAGUAGAUGUGUUAAUAAUCCGAUUAUGGAGUCGAUUUUCGAUUACCCCACGACCUGACAGAGUGACUAUGAUUUGGUGAGCCAUCAACCCAAGACCGCAAUCUCUAACUCUUGUCUCCUUUGUCUAGCUGGCGCCGUUCCAAUGUGCGGCACGAUGCUUAUGCUUCUCUAUCCUACGACCGCGUGCACAGUUGUUCAGAGAAAAAGAUUAGAGAAACACAUCACUUGAGAUCCAACACCAAAAGAAAAGGCACAUAUGGUUUUCAAGAAGAAUCCUUAGGCACCUCCUUGCUUCCGACCUCACAUAGAAACCAAAGGAAGAGAAUGACCGCUGGGGAAAGCAAUAGGCUUCCUGGAAAAUAAAAAGAAGGGGAAAAAAGCGAUUCAUUCCUGCCUUCCCUUCGCCAAGCAGGCAAGCAAACGGAAGCAGACACCCGCAAACCACCCAGGAAUUACUACCCGGGAGUCAAGCAACCAAGAAUCUGUGCUCCAUCCAUGGCAGAUCAGGACGCCGCCGAGAUGGGCCCGCCGGCGUGGCCCCCUUGGACCUCCCUCCUGCUCCGGGCCAUGAGCAAGCGUCGGACCUGGGUCGCCCUCUUCCUCGCCGUCUACGCCGCGCUGCUCUGCUCGUCGUGGAGCCUCCUCGGGUCCGUGCGCGCCUGGUACUACGCCGCGGUGGGCGGGGCGCACCCUGCGGCGGCGGUGGCGUGGCCCGCGGCGCUAUACGCGUCGGUGAUGUACGGCGCGGUGUUCGGGCUGCUGUCCAUGGGGGCCGCGCUGGCCGUCGCGGCGCCCGCCAUGCUGGUGACCUGGAUCACGGUGCUCGUGCUGCUGGCGUUCGCGGGGAAGCCCAGGAGGUCGCUGGUCGCCGAGGGGCGGCGCGCCACGGCCGACAUCGCGCGGCUCGCGCUCCGCGUGCUGCUGCGCGAGGGCAACGCCGUCGCCGCGCUCUGCGCCGCCGCCAGCUUCACCGCCCUGCUCCUCGGCCGCCGCGACGACGGCGAGGCGGCGGCGGCCGGCAGCUGAAUUGGUGCUUCUUUUUAGAGAAAAGCUGAUCUGAUGCUUUCCAUUAUUUACACUUGUCUUGUAGUAGUAGUGUUUUUCUUUUAUCUGCAGUUAAUUUUUCAACGUAAUCCCUGUCCGAAUGCAGCCGUUUGUAUACCAUGAUUUUGGGGGUUUCAUUUUUGCCAUUUCUCCUCCUUUUUAUAUGGUGUUACUACUCCACUUACUAGAGGUUAAUUGUCGAGCAUACAUAACUACGGAGUACAUUAUUCAAUCAACCGAUUAGCUGCGCAGGGGCGAGGCGAUGCCCUCUUUGAUUUGGCUUUGCCGUGUGAGUGAAGAUGGCAUCGUUUCGACAGCUAGAAAGCAGAGCGUGGCUUGAGCAGAAGCUACUGGGCGUGGGAGGACAGUUUUUUUUCUUUUUACGAGCGAUGCGUGGGAGGACAGUUGGCGACUUGCGAGUACUCUCCGGUCUUCUAUUUUGUGGGGCUCCGGUCAAGCAGGAUCACGUUGUGGCGGGCCGCAAAUUGGCUAGACGGCAGGCCAAAACGAACCCCGCGCUCGGAGCCAGCGGUGCAUCAAGCCCUUCAUCUACUAUUGGGCCUGUUGGGCUCGAUAUCAGUUUUGAUAUGGGACGGAAAGAGUACGUGAUAAAAUCACAAAAAUUUGAACAAACAAAGCCAAAAUUCUACCAGAGUAGCGAACCGAGCGUAGUUUAUAUGGUCUGACUCUUGUGGUGGAACCAGGCCACUCUCUUUCAAGUCUUAGAUUUAACAUAUAUGUUCACAUUUACCUGGAUUUGUUUCAAGGUCUGCUCCUGAACUUCUGAGAAGCUCAAUUCUAGUCCUCCCAUCAGUGUGAAAGAAAUCAAGCUACUGGUUCAGUGGUUCUGUUGUGGCUAAGAGCCUAAGAUUGAAGCAGAACUUUCUGACGGCUCAAAAAGUGAUUACAAUCAACACCGACUUCUCUUGAUCUGUUCAGCUCUAUUCAAAACGUGCAAGCCUGCAGUAGAGUUACCACUCCUAUUGCACGUCGUUCAGCCGUCGUUUGCUGUUACGGCUUUCUUACUUUCAUCAGCUCUCCCUCCCAACCAAACACAGACAGACGUACACCUACUGGUUCUGCUAGGCGAUGCCGGAAUCAACCGCGGGAAACUCCCCGUGGUUGCCUGCGAACCAGGCACACCGCACACCCAAUCUUUAAUCCUGGGAAGCUUCCCUGGUCCUGAUAUAAAACAAUCUCAUAGAUUAUCAAGCGGUUCUUCUCCCUGUCGGCAAAGCCGGAGGAGAAGCAGGAACAUUGGCACGAUGUCAUCUGUAUGCUUGUUCCCCAUCCAGAUACAAAUUACUCCAACAAGUCCAAAAAUCGUAGCAAAUAUCAGAAGUCCAAACAUCGUAACUGGUAAAGCAGUGGCAAGUCGAAGCAAAAUUCCAGGACAUCGUGUGGCUGGUACAAAACGUAACAAGUCUGAAUGGUACAACAACUAAUCCAACACGGUAGUUCAUAGAGCAACAACAAUACAAUGGGGGCAAAGCUAAACAGGAAAAAUGCCAAGAAACAUUGGAACUGGGUACAUUAUUACAAAAAUGUGUGUCCAAGCCCAGUCAAAAUGGUAUAGUACACAUAUCCAUGCUGGCCAGUUGGGCUAAGCUUACGCUGAAAUGUUGUUCCUCAGAUAUGAAGACAGUUGAGAGCGGGUCGCUUUUCCUCAAGCUUUCAGUUCUGUAAUUGGUCCCGUGCAGUGGAAUCUGCACUGAAAGCAUAAUAGGAACGCCAGGUCUGCAGAUAUUUUGAACAAUAUAGAAUCUGCACUGUACCGUGGGUUUCACAGUCUGGCAUCAAACAUGUAUGUACACUCAAACUGGUGGACGUUUUAGAUUCAAACUGAUGGAUAGAGGGGAAUUACGGACUGAGGGCAAUCUGUCCUCGCCCCGGCCAGAGAGUAGUAUGCCAGAAUCUGUGCCUGGCCCUCUGGGCAAGGCUCAUCUUGUUUAGGUGCAAUAAAUUCGAUGUUCCAAAAGGGUCGUACCAUCGCCAUGAGAUCAGUGCCAGUCGAAGAUGCCUUGUAUCCCUGCACCCAUAGAUAUCUGAGUGACUUGAGCUGUAACGCAGCAACGGCCAAUGCACGUUCACUAAAACAGCAACUUCUUAGCUCCAAUUUCUGCAAGCUUGGGCAUCCUCUUGAGAAUGCUAGCAGUCCAUCAUCAGAUUCCCCAACAUUCCCAAGCAACAUGUAGCGGACGGUCUUACUAAAUUCACCAACAUAGGAAAGACCAACAUCUGAUAAAGCUCCAGGUCUCACAUAGAAUGCAAACCUCCGGAGUUUGGUGCAGCCUCUCAGCAAAGCACGAACACCGAUGUCAAGGGGCAAUUCAGUUAUAUGCAGUUCUCUAUCAAGCAGGACAAGUCGGAAAUCGUUAAGGUUUUUGCUGAACGAACCAAUGGCCUCAAGACCAGCAUUUGUAAUGUCAGACACAUGAACCGCCCAGUACUCCAAAUCAGGGCAGCCUUCAGCUACAGCCCUCAAUCCCACCUGUGUGACCCUACCAUGUUCGUCCUCAAGACCUCCUUGGUCAUCAUCCCCCCUCUCUACUCUGAGUCUCUGCAAUUUCUUGCAGGUCCGUGCAACAACUUCUAAUCCUCGAUCUCCUAUCACAUCUCUCACCUGUUCAUACACACAAGGAAAAACAAAUCAUCAACACAUCAUGUUUCAAAUAUCAUAUUUACUAUCCAAACUCGAAACAGUAGACAUAGCAAAAACACAUGUAAAUGAUAUGCCAAAAAAUACCUCCAAAACUUCUAGAUUAGGGCAGCGCUGAACUAUUUGGCAGUGAUCCUCUGUGGUAAGGAAUGUGAACUGAAGGUCUAACUUCUUGAUUGCAGCACCAUAUGGAAAUAGUAUCUGCAUCUCAUUUGUUCCCAUGUAGAGCAAACUCAAGCGGUGUAGCGAAGGAGGGAAAUAGUAGUUUCCGUAAUUUCUACUCUCCCCACCUUGAUCCUGAUCCUCAAAGGAACCACCGGCGAAGUCUUGUAGUGUUUGUGCUGUACGGAACAAAUCGACCAGGUCAGACAUGAAGCAGUCGCUGAUCUUCAGAGUUUUCAGCCUUCGGCAAUUGCGCACAAGGAGGACAAGAUAUGCUGGUGACACUCUGAGAUCCGUCAAAAAGAAAUUCAGUGUCUCAAGGACAGUAUUGCUGGUAGCAAGCUCGUGAAGCCAUUCAUCAUUUUCUUUCUCAGCAAUCGAGCUUUCUUCAAGGAACAAUGUUUCCAGUUUUCUGCACAUGACAAGAAACAUGUCUAGUUAAAAACUAGUAGCCUAUGAAGGUAUGCUCCUACUAAAAAUCUACAGACUAUUCUGAUUGUAUGUUUUGGUCAAAACUAUCUGAACCAAGUAUCAGAUCUGUAUAUUUUCUUUGUCUUCAUCUUUUCUCUUAUAAAGAUCUUUUUCUCUUAUAAAGAUCUGAGAUGGUGACAGCGCCUAGUUCCCCUCUUGAGCUCCAGGAAAUUAUCACAACGAUCAUCCAUUCAAUGUGUGUAUGCAUAUGUAUCACGAUAUUUUGAACAGUUGAUUCAAUAGGUGCAUUUCUUGACAUUUUUUACAUUUUGCCCAAAGUUGGGUGCUGAUGGUUAAACAACUCAUGCGAUACAAAUAAAACUUCCGUAGCAGCCUAGUAUUUAGCUAGUGAACCAAACAAGUUAUGCAAAGUCCUCGUCCGCUAUAAAAACUAGAAUUAAGGCAGUUAAACUCUACAUUUCCUUAUUCAUAUUCCAAAGCAAGAACUCUCCCCAAAUUCCAAAUAGUACCAAGAUGGUUUACAUCAUGUACGUUGCAUGCCCUUACCUUCAUUUACUCAGGGAAAUAAAAUCCCACUUAUCUAUUUACCCUUCAAAAACAUCUCAUCAACAGAAAAACACCAUUUCCAAAAUGAAAAAAAAACAUGAAAUAGCAAGCUGAAACUGGGAUGGACCAAAACAAGGCGAAAAACUAAGUAGUAACAAGCGACAAGUAAAAUCAACAAAUUAAAACGGGAGAGGAUAAAUUACUUGCAGCAACGGGCGAGGAGAGCAAGGGAGGGCGUGGAGAAGCCGGAGCAUCGGUCGAGCUUGAGCGACACAAGCAUGUGCGCCUUGGCGCGGACGAGAACGUCGAGGUCGUCGUCGGACACAAUCAUCCGGCGGAGGUGGAGCACCUUGAGGAAAUGGAAGGAGGCCGAUAGCUGCCGGAUCCAGGGCGAGGCGGAGCCGCCCCAGUCCUCGGGGAUGAGGUUGAACAUGGAGGCCCGGGGCUUGGCCUUAAGCUUGAGGGACUCGAGGCAUGGGAAGCGACCGAAGAGGCGGUCGGGCGUGGUGGAGUAGGCCAUGGCCACCGUGACGUGCUUCCGGCUGAGCGCGUCGACCCGGUUCCAGUGGCGACACACGAGCGAGAUGGCGUCGCGGUCCCAGGGGUCCUCCACGCACCCCAUCACCAGCCCUAGCGCCACGUCCGGGAUCCCGAAGCUCAUCGUCCUCCCCAGCUGCCGCUGGUCGCCGCCCAUAACAGGGGAGCCCGCCGGCGCCGCCUCCCGAUCUGCCUCGUCUCGGUCUGCUCCGCCGCGGAUUUCAACGGAUUGGGGUUGGGCGCGGUGGUGGGGCGGGCGGGGUGUGGAGUAGAAGCGGAUGGGGAAUUUGGAAUGGGGAAAUUUUAGGGGUUCCGGUCGUCCGGACGACGCGAACAGGCCUUUUUCUUCGGGUGUUGUGCGGCUACGCGAUGGGGGCGGAGCUGGGCCUGGCCGUCACUGUGCUGCGGCUCCGCCAAUAGGGGUGGCCGACGCCCGAAUCGUGCUGACACCUGGGGCCGCGGACGCAGAUAUUUUUCCGCCUAUCUUAUCUCCGUACGCCUCGGCCUUGCCUUCCUCCAUCAGCUGGUCGGUUUUUGCCCGAUCUAGGGCUUUUACGAUUACCUCUGUCUGCGCAUCACAGGAGAUGGCCAAGGCGACGCCAGAAAUAGAAAUCUUCAAGACGGCAAAUAUCUAUGGCAUGCAACACUUGUACUGUUCUGUUAUGAUCCGUAUCAUGGUGCGAGCGAGGUGGAGAUAUGUACUCCAUCUUUAGUCCAUCUUUAGUCCAUCUUUAAUAAUAUCUUUUGCGUGGACUUUUGCUUACACAUUUAUAAUCUCUGUGAAGGAUAAGCAAAGUCUCAUGGAAAUAAAAGACAAACAAUAAAUUUAACAAACAUGAGAUAAGUAUCCGCUUACAAUUUUUUAUGCCAUGUUUAAUUGAGAUUGAUUAGGGUGGCAAUGCAUAGUCUCUUAGAUGUUGUCUUUCCACACAACAAAUACACAUACCAGCUCCCAAUGCAUCGUCCAUUAGUAUUGUAUCUAAAUUCUAAAAUACUCCCUCUGUUCCUAAAUACUUGUCGUGGUUUCAGUGCAAAUUAGUAUUUGUUAUUAAUAGCUUUGCGAGAGAGAUUUUAAUGUAUUUGUGUUGGUUCUGUGAAGAUACAAUAUCUUAUAAGAGACUGUUUUCUCGUUAAUUAUGUGUCAUGUAGACAUAUUGCUGACGUGGAUGCUUAAUAUACAUUCGGUGAGGUCUAAAUCCGGUUGAACCCAACCCGUGGAAACUGGCCAUUAUCCACCUAGUUCAUUUGCCUUCAAUAACCGGAACUUAUUGACAAUGCUAGUACAAAUUAAUGAACAUGCGGUUUAGACAGUUUUUAUAUCAACACCCCUCUAUGUAGCGGUUCUAGGGCAUGUUAAGAGUGUGUACCUUCGGAGUACUCAUGCUAGGGCUAACAUUUUGGUUACUACCCUGAUACUAGGACCUAGAAAAUCUAGACGCCUUAGGUCCAAGAAACCCAUUUUCUUUGUGAAACAAAAGCUGAUGUUGGUUGGCUUGGAUCCCCAAACUACAGUUAUUGGUUGUGCGGGUGUUUGCUAGCACCCGCGCGCUAGAAACGUGGGAACUAGCAGGAUAAUGGAAUUGAUGGGCUCAACAAGAUGGGAGAAGUAGCAGGAUAAUGGAAUUGAUGGGCUAAACAAGUCAGCUGGGUAUAGAUUUGUUAGGACUUAGGAUGUCAACUUAAACCACAAAGGUGGACCCCUCUAGGAACUCCAAACCAAGCUUGAAAUAACCAGGACCAUACAAGCCAUAUGUCUUGGAGCUUAAAACCUGCAGAAGUCAAAACAAAGACAAGAUGCGGGCAUGCAUUGAGGAAUCGUAAAACAAAAAAUAUCUAUUUUAGGCACUUGCACCCUUAAAAUGUCUUCCGCGGUAGAGGGAAAUAUUUUUGUUAAACGAUGAGCAUGGUUGCUAAAAGUGGGGUUGACUAAGCACGACGGAACACAACGACCACCAAACCUAGGCUCCUAAAAGAGAGAAGAAAUGGAUAAUUGAUAUUCCAAAAGUUUGACCAAAACUAAGUCCAAAACAUGUGUUUUGACUUUUGAUGCACCAAAACGAUAUUGUGUUAAGAGAACAAUAUCCGUGGGAGGUGGAACCGUGGGGGCAGAACUUCACCCAUUGGACUCCAAAUCUUGGUGCUCAGCUUAAAAUGUACUCCCUUAAUCCAGGUUUACAAAACCAUUUCUCAAAAAUUUAAAAUUCAAGAUCAUAAGGCUUCUCUCACAUGUCUCCCUCAAUGGUGUGACAUGAAUUCCGUGUUUACACUUCAACAUUAACUCCCUCAUACUAGCGUAAAAAUGACUAAACGAAGGGAGUUAAUGUUGACGGAAACAGGUGAGAGAACGGAGACAUGUGAGAGAAGCCUUAUGAUAUCAGAGUAAAACACUAGUGUAAUUCUGUUUAUACUAUUGUUUUACUCUGAUACCAAUGUUUCAUCUUGAUAUUAUUGGUGUUUUAACAUUAAAUCAACAUUUUCGUUGAUUAUAAGAAUUAUAAGUCAGCCAUUAUUUUUUCGUUGAUACUAAUAUUAUUCUGGAAAAUGGUUUUAAAAUCUGAGUCUGGCUGACAUGACACAAGCAAGAUGGUGGCCUGUUACUUGAUUAACCGGUGGCAGUAUUGCAUGGAUUGCAAGUUUAGCAUGUGCAUCAAUUCCCUGUUGCUCCUUUCCUUGAACAAAAAAUGUCGUGAAGAUUUGGAUGUAUUUAAACAUGACUUUGUGUGUGUGUGUAUAUAUAUAUAGAUGUUCCACACAGCAUGGGAGCAAACUGUGCAGGUGAGCGACCAAUUGUUGACGAUCAGCAAACUGAACGGAACCUCACGUAACUCUUGUGCACGAAGUAAGUAAGGAAGGCGCACAAGUUGCGUGCACCCGUGCUGUGCAGGUGCAGUGGACAAGUUGCGGCAUGUGAGGUAGUCAUCGAACAGUGAUCUGUUAGCGAUAAAGAUGUCAGGGGGUGGCCCGUGGCCGAGUGGGUGCGUACGUAGCGCUGGAAUCUGGAUAGGUUAAGCCUACCUCAGGGAAUCCAUCCUUGGCAUGGGCUGGAUCCGUCCAUAGAUUUGAUGUGAUGUGUACAAAAGAGGACUUGGAUCGGAAACAAUUGCCCUUGCUUAACUGUCGAUCCUCCACCUUUUCUCUUAAAUAUGAGGUAACCAAUGGGCGACGCUUUCUGGACCAUCACGUUAAUUAACCGGAACGCAACGGAACCUUCUCGACUCACACAACCAACGACGGUGGCAGAGCCAUCGUCUCAAUUUUAACUACGGGUUUACUGUACUAGCAUAGUCUGAACGAGACAGUCGCCCGCGCUCUGUUAAGAGAUCAGAUCGCUAAUAAUGGAGUUUAGGGGCAGCAAAGGCCUGCGCGCGGCGAGCGAGAGAGAGCAAGCAAGCAGCAAGCGCAAGCGUUGUUGGCACACGCCGCACGGCACGGCAGAGGGAGGAGGAGGAGAGCGUGCUUUUCGACCGUUGGCCAUGGAAAGCGGCUGCAGCCGUCAAGUUCGUUGGGAUGGCGGAUGCUUUCGGCGAAAGCGCAGUGCCGAAGCCCCCCACAUGGGGGCGAGGCGAGCGGCGCGGGUGCUUUCUCCGUGUCCGCUCGGGUACGGGCUCCGAAAGGUCGCGCGUCCACGACCAGAAACGGGAAGUUUUGCGGAAAAGAGAGACUAGGCAGAACCGGAAGCUCGCGGCCAUGCACGGUCACGCUCGCACGGCAAGCUCAGCGGAAGGACACUUGUGCGACGUACGUAGGGGGGAGAGAAUAAAAGUGGGCACUAGAAGACAUGGAGCAGUGCACAUGCCGCUGCCGGUUGGAAAGUUGCUAGAUCGAUCGGUCAUGUAAAUGUCAUCUAUAUGCUGCGGGAAUGUGUUGGGUGCGUGUUUAAGGCUUUAGAGCCAUUUUAAAUUGGUGAAAUGCUACGGAAUUUUUCUAUAGCGAAAGUGAGUACGAGAAUCGUAUGCGAGCAGAGAAUCAUGAUGGAGUUAGCUUUAGCGCUGUCAGCUAAAAAAAAAUCUAGUGCAAAGGCAGAUCUGAUGCAUUCGACAAGAAAGCAAAUACUUGACCUAGCUUAGCUCCGAAAACACAUAAAGAUCGAGCUCAAACUUUGGCCUCCAAGCAACUCUGUAGCAUAUUUUGGCCACAAAAACUGUAGAUGGGGCAGAGGAUAGCGACAUGUCAAACUUUUAACGACACACGGGAGGUAGCGUAACUGCAGCUCGCCAGUCCAAGAGGAAAAUCAAGCCAACUUGCCGGAAAGAGAGGAUGGUCACCUCAAAUUUCUAUAGAAAAUUAGUACUACUCCACUAAUCACCAGUGGACCAACUCGGAGCCAAUCAAUUGCAUAAACUUUCUGCACGACUAGUGUUCCACAAGAAUGGAUAAAAAUACUGUGCUCAGGUCCCACGCCCAUAAUUGCUUGCUUUUCAUCCAUAGUGGACUAAUAUAGUACACUAAUAAGGAUGCUUUUAUCCAGCAAAACCAUAAAAAUCAUUGCAACUGAUGUUGGCUCAACCUAAAUAUAAGUUUCUUACUCUUUUCCGCCCAUGACCAUAGUGGAUCAUUGUGUCAGUCAUAAUCUUACAGAUAAUUUGUUAGUAUUGUCGCAAGCAGGGUAAAUAGGGUAAGUAGGUCCCCCAAAAUGCAUUGUAAAACGUCAGACUUAACACCUUUUUAAGGAAAUGCCCAACUUUGGCCAUAACACUUAUGUGAGAUUAGGAAAUGACAGCUUAACAAUUUAACAGAAGACCAAAGUUUAGCAUAAGUGUGCAUAUUCUUUAUUAGAGGUGCACUAGGAUGCUUAUGUGGAUCUGCAAGUAGAUCUGAUCAAAAUGAUCUGUUGUUUAUGGCUGGUCCGGGGAUUUCUAGAUCAUAGUUAACUCAAUAUAUGAUUUUCAUACUCCAUGGCCAAGUUGAGCUAGGCCCAGCCCGUCAUGCUAUUGGCCAAGGUUUUGUUCGAACAAUAAGAUGCAGCCAGUCAGGCUUGUAGAAUCAGGCCCAAGCAGCCAUGCACACUCAACAGAAGAUUGGUCAUAACAUUGCAUAUCUAGCAAAUUUCAGGAAUAAGAAAUAUGAAAUCCUGUCAAUCAUCAGCAUGUUUGAAAAAAAGGGGUAACCAGCUGGUUAACAUCAAUUCUUGUAAACAGGUAGAAUUGCAAAUAAACAUGCAGUGAUUAUAACUUGACCAUGUAUCAGAAAAUAUAUGUGAAGUUUGAGAAUCUAAUAUAUUCCAUCAGUGAGAAACAUACAUAAUCAACUUACAACAAAACAAAAACAAAAAGGCUUCUUCAGUGGAAGAGGCAAUUCCCAAACCAACAAACUAAAAACAACAUUGUAAUUACCUAGGAAUUGCUGUCUGUCUCCGCUUCUUCAGUUUCAUCUGGAAAAAUUACGCAAAAAAGGUCCUGAGAAAUUUUUAGAUAAUAGAAAGCUAUAGCAUAGCAGCAACUACAGAGUAAAAAACUUGUAGAAACAUUGUACUCCCCCGUCCCAAAAUAAGUGACGUGGAUUUGUAUAAAGAGUCUAUACAAAUCCACGUCACUUAUUUUGGGACGGAGGGAGUACUAAAGAUAAAUAAUUACUUAUGUACUACUACAGCUUGGCUUUUUUAUGCGAAGGGAAGGGCUUGACAGAAGACGCUUAGCUCUUAUUUUACUGCACCCAGCAUACUCACUACUAGCCGCCUCCUCAAAGUGAUUCACUACUAUCUGCCUCAUCAUUUAGAAGAGAUAGAAGAUACAAUCUUUUUUGCAGGCAACCACUUGCAGGACAAAAUGGUGCUUGGUAAUCAUAACCGUGCUAUUGUGCGGGAAGACCAAAAGUCUAAUUGAUGCCGCCUGCUGGCCUACUCUUAUCACCUCAAGCAAGGGUUUUUUCAACUCAGACAUCCACCAGUUGGAAAGUUGGUGGUUCCGAGUUCUGACAAAGUAUAUUUGAAGUGAAUAAUAAGAGCACCUAUAGCUAACGAAGUUUCAGGUGAACAGGUGUUAAGUGGUAGGCAGGUGGCGCACCAGAUUGUGCUACUAGCCUACUGCACGGAAUGCAUCAGGAUUCUUUGUGUUCCACUUCUAUGGAAUUCAUAUAUACAUGUGUCUUAAUUCAUUUUUAUUUCUCGGUUUAAUCAUAACUUUGGCUUAAAAGAUUAAAUUCCACCAUGUGAGCUCGUUUUGUAUUAAUAUUAUUGAGCUGCUCCCUAGUGUUGGAAAAGGAAGAAAUGACGCCCCAAGGAUGCAGACAGGAUUAAGAGGGUACACACUAACACAGACAACGAAAGUGCAGAAUUUGCAUAUUGUCAUACAAAAUACAUGCCAUGAUGCCAGGCCUAGAAAGAGCUAGCAGCGGCGUAGAAGGAUCUCGAAGCAUGGUUCAAAAAUAAAUCCUUGAUUAUAUCCUUCUUCAAAAAUAAACAGAACCUCACUGUACACUUGUCGUAGUGCAGAUUAAGAAGAGAUCCAAGCAUAUUAGACAUUUAGACCUCCUUAAAAUGGAAGAACAAAUUUUAUAACCGUCCACAACAUAAUAGGCACCAAGCCUUUGUGCACCUUAAGAAAUAAAAUAAUGUUAAUAUUUCUGUCUUGCAGCCAUGAUAUUUCCAUACUUAUGCCAUGACCUUUAAAAUCAAAGGUGCAUGGACUGGGAACAUAUAGAACUUUAUUUUAUAUUAUUAGUAAGUCUAGCUGCAAGCUGAGGGGGCAAUGUGAAUGGAUAACGCAUAAUCUGACAUUUCAGUGUACAAUUAUACUCCCUCCGUCCAACAAAAGAUGUCUCAAGUUUGUUAAAAUUUGGAUUUAUCUAGACAUGACUUAGUGUAUAGAUGCAUUCAAAUUUAGUGAAAGUUGAGACAUCUUUUGUUGGACGGAGGGAGUAUAUACUUUCAAAUUCCAUUCGCCUGUUCGGCCAUAACCAUUCGCAAUAUACUGCACUAACUGUUUAUAGUAGAAGAGGCAAUUCAAUUCACCUCACUAGAUAAUGUCAAGAGUCAAGACCUUAACCAUGGUAAUCUAGAGUAUCAUUAGAACUAACAACCUAUUUAUCCCUGCUUGUUGUUCGCCUCACUGCCUGUUUAAAUAUGUACUUGUAAGUGCAACUAAAGGAUUUCAGUUUCAGCAUAGAAACUACUAGCUUAGUCAGGAACCCAUCACAGUAAUAACCAAACAUCACGUUGCAAUCAUAACUGCAAAAUGUUCGUGCAUAGCUAUAUGUACCUUGGGCAGCCUCCUCUUGCUCCUCCGCCACUUCCUCUUCACCAUCAUCCUCAGCAUCAGUGUCGUCUUCGUAUUCAUCAAAAACGGUGGUACCGUACCUGGUGUUGAGGUAGUCGAUGGCGGCCGGGGUGAAGAAGUGCUUGCGGGCGUCGAGGAUGUCAUAUAGGUUGAGCGUCCUGGGGGUUAGCAUCUUGAGGGUGCCGAUGUUCCUGCCGCUAAGCCGCACAUUAUCAUCAAGCUCCGUGGAGAAGAACAUGGCCUUCUCCUUGGGGUCCAGCCCCCACCGCUGCAGCGCGGCCACGAAGUCCCUGGUCCUGGGUCCCGUGGCAAACUCCUCGUCAAACUCCUGGACGACAAAGGAGUCGUUGGCCACGGCGGCGCUGGCCAGCGCGGUGGAGAUGGCGAGGCGCUUCUCCUUGCGGUUGAUCUUGAUGGACCAGUCCCGGGGCUUGGGGCCGAAGAUGACCCCACCGCCGGGGCGGAGCGGUGUGCGCGUGGACCCGCGCCGCGCCUUUCCGGUCUUCUUCUGGCCGUAGGGCUUCCUCCCACCACCUCUGACCUCUCCGCGGGUGAGGGUGGAGGCCGUGCCCCGUCGCGCGUUCUGGCGGUCGGUGAUGAGGGCGCGGUGCACGACGGCGCGCGCGGUGGAGGGCGGUGCGGACUUAAGGUCCAGGGCGACCUCCCCGACCUUCUCCCCGGUGAAGGAGAUGACUGGGAGGGUGGUGGCCUCAGCGCGCAGCGCGCGGAGGAUGGACGCGGCCGGCUUCCCCCUGCCGGUGGCGAUGGAGGCGUGUGGGGAGGAGGAAGAGGAGGGGAGGAAGGAGACCGAGGAAGAGGAGAGGAAGGAGGAAGAAGAGGCGGAGAGUGAGAGGAGGAGUGGCGAGGCCACGGAGGAGACCGGCAUUGUGGCGGCGCUACGGCGCUCGGUGCGCUGCGCUGGAGACGGACGGGGGAGGAGGAGACGGGCUGCCGCUGCAGCUGCCGGUUCUAUCUCUUUAUCCACACCCGUUCGGCCACACGGACGACGGCACAAGAGCGCAAACAGUAUGCGUCGGGCAACUGUUUCGUCUACUUGGUGUCUUGGUCGCGCCAUACACUUUGGUAAUUCCUGCCGCGAUGACAUUUUUCUCCUUUACACACGUAGGCUUCGAUCUUUUUUCGUCAAAAAAAGUUACACAGCUCCCAUGGUUCAUACAUAGUGGUUAGACAGGUUCCAAGAGCAGGUCGAGGUAAAAUCGAACCCGACAUAAGUUCUCAUUUCCCCUCUAGAUUUCAACAUUCGUAACGUAGUAGUACCUCCGUUCCUAAAUACUUGUCAUGUUUUAGUGCAAAUUUGUCACGAUCAUGGAUUAACCCUAUACCAUUUGGUAUUUUGACAAAGUUGUGGUGUGGAUAGGCCAAGGCAAAUAAGUCAAAAUCCCUGUUAUUUUCAGAUAUAUACGAAAUACCCUUUCAUAAACAAACCCAAGAAAACCGAGUAGAUACAUACGAAACUCCCUCUCAUUACCAACUUAUUUUCCGACUUUUCAACAUCUGGGAAUAUGUUUUACACGAGUGACUUAAACAUCCUAUUCAAUAUAUGUAAUUGACUAUAUAAUCUUCCGGUUUCCGACAAGAACAAUAGUGGUCACCGUAAACCUAGAGUUCAAACCUCCCCCUUCUUUUUUGAGGACCUACAUUUUGAUAACGUCUCUCCUAACAAAUGGCUCUAUUUGCUGACUCUGUUCGUGAUUUAUGAUACAAUCAGUCAGUAACACUUGCAAAGACCUAGAUCAUCUUUACUGCUUUGAAGGCAACUUUUUAACCAGACUGGUGUUACCGGUUACCAAUAAGCGAGCACCCUUCACCAGCUCCUCCUUAAUCAUAAAAAGCAAAGCAGAAGCAAAAACACUUUGCACAAUUUUUGUGCCCAUUCCUUUGUAAAGCCCUGAUAGACCCUCAUAAUGCAUCAUUUUUGUGAGUGCAUCAAAUGUGCCUGAAAGCAAGACAAGGUGCAAUGAAAUAUUUGAUAGCAAAGUCAAUACUCGCAUAGUAACCAGGGAAAUAAAUACUUGUUAGCAGAAACAGGACCUGAAGUGACAGUACUAAUUCAAAAUUAAAGCAUGAAUGACGCCCAACAAUGUACCUUUGUAGCGAUGCCUCUUAUCAUCGGUAAUCAUUUGCUUUGCCUGAAGUCUUGCCUGCAGCAUAAGCAUGGCUUAAUUUGAUAUACGUGCACAAAUAUGCAGCAGAGCAGCUACAAGUAUAUCUGGUGCACCGAAUAAUCACCUUCACAACUAGAAGAGGAUAUGUAACAAGAGUUGCGCCCAGUUUUGCAACAGCUCCAAGAAGAAAAAUCUGAGGAUGUAUUUUACAAAGGCGGUUAGGGGCUAGGAAUUCCAUAACAUAAUUACUGAACAAAGAGAUACUAGUAUUAGAGGGGCACAUCAUAAUGCCCAAGUGCUUUCAACAAAUCACGUAUUUGGAGUAGUAAUUUUCUAGACAGAAUAUGUGACGUAGAUGAACAAGUUCUAAAGUAACCAUUAGUGAUAUGCUCAGGGCAUUCAGGCCCCAGCACAGGAAACUUGGCACCUCAUGAUGCAUUAAACCUCCUAAAAAAUUAGUAGAGAUAAUUCACCAGAAAAGCUAAAGCUUACUUCAAUAGCAGUCAGUCCAUCAGCCCCCUUCAAAUUAGAGGCACGUCUCUUCUUCAGCUUCUUCAAAAGAGACUCGUACAACAUGAACUGGAUUGCGGGAUUGCUGACCUAGUAACAAGUGAAACGUGGAACGACCCUUGUAAGACCAUUAGAAAAAGAAAAUGUGAAAUCAGAGACUUACCAUAAUAAGAGCUGGAACAACCCCUUUCCAGAAGCCCAACACUCCAGCUUCUUUGUAAAGAUCCUGAAUCUGCAGCUAGGCCAAGUCAAUCAACCAUACCCCAAACUAAUUCAGAAUUUAGAAGUUCAGAGUGGCUUUGUAUUUAAGAUCAAGUGUGCUAGCUAGCAAACAAAUAAAACAAAAUUACUAUUUCCCGUCAUAAAGAAACAUAUUCAUCUCAUUCCACUAGUACAUUAUUUAUCUUGGUCCUCUCAUGUUGACCACAAGAUGACUCUCCAUGUCCUUCCACUCUGUUGAAUGAAAAUUCAGACCUUUGCUCAAAGUUAUUGUUUUAUUGGUUGUCAUGUUUACUGUCUGAUGUCAGCCUAUAUUAUGCUGCGGCCAAUAUUUUAAAUUAAAAAGAAAGGAAAAACAUACAUAGAACAAUCCAGGUCAGCAAGGUAUGCAUUUGACUAGCUUGACAAAGAGGCAGUGUAGAAUGAAAAAUAGGUAGAUUUUUGCCCUAACUUCUUUACAUUUACAUAUACAAUUAUAAAGAUUCGACUUGGUGGUUGUCUGUUCACCUUACCGAGACUAUCCCUAGCUUGUUAGACAAUCACUUGAUUGACACCCUUUCAAUGUGGUACUUAUAUGUAUCAGCGACACUUAUCAUGGAUCGGAGGGAGUAAAUGUUUUCUCAAUUAAAUAUUAUAUUUUGAGAGAAUUCUUAUUUAGUAUAAAAUUGGAAAAUAUGAGCACAUAAAUAUUUAAAACAACCCAUAUAUGUAAUAUAUAUCUUUCAUUUUGUAGCAACGCAUGUGCAUUUAGCUUUAGUUAAAAUAGGUAGAUGUUUGCCCUAACUUUAGUUAAAACAUAAGUUGUGUUAGUUACAUUUCAAUCAUUUUUCGGCAUUUACAAGAUGAAAGAGUCAGCUCAGAGCAUGUGUUUUUCCAGGAUACAAACCAUCUGCAUUUCUGUUGUAUGAUAUACUUGCAGGAAGUACAGCAUCAAAACAGUGUUGUGUGAAGAAUAUAUCAUUUAUCAUUUUAGUGCUUAGUAAUAUUGAGCUAGUGAAUCGUGACAACCCUUGGAACCAAGAACCUGAUACUUAACUAAACUUAAAGCAAUGCUGAUUCUAAGCAACUAGGUGCCUUCAAAUAAAGGCAAAAAACAAGGGAGGAUUUUAUCAGACUUUUAAAUAUCAGUUAUUAUCACGAUAUAUGUGUUCCAUUCCUAGAUGGUAACCUUAUAGGCUUCUAGCUGAUGCUGAAGGUUGUAGCUUAGAUAGAAACGACAAAUGCAUAGUGAUGAAUUCCAACAAAAGUAACAUUGCUGUACAUGAAGUAUCUUUUGCAAACUAAAACAUGCAUAUCCAUGUAAAACCUCAGAUAGAUAUUCAAGAUGCAAAAUAAUUACGAAGCUUCUAUUGAAUCUAUCUAAAUAUGAGCCAGUCGCCCUUACAAUCCCACAAACUACUAAACAGAACGCAGCAUUCGGCAAAAUGUAAUCACACGAAUAGUAUAUGUUAUCCCUACAGGGAGAAUGAUCUGAGAUACAUACAAUGUUGAUAGUUUUAUGAGGGAUGUUUUCAACUGGGGCAGUUUGUAUGGCCUUGUCAAGAGCAGGGCUUUGCUGUUUGUUAGUCUUUCUGUGAGUCUGCAGACAAGAAAUAGAUUAGGCUUCACGAUGUUUUACCAAAUGAUUUCCCUAACAGCAGUUGAUUGGAAAACACUGCCCCUCAAGAAACUUGCAUUUGCUUACUUGCAUUCGUGUAACAACAACCCAAAUUGGGUUUGUGAGAAGUACAUUAACGCAUCUGCAAAAGGCCAAGGUGCAAACUGGAUAUCAGCAGCUCAAAAUUCUCGUGAUCAUAAGCAGUAACCAUUUAGGACGCAGAUGGGCUUGCAGCAAUUAUGUCCAGGAAAAGACAAUGGAAUGCAAGAGGUCGACAAUAGAUGCACAAGCAAUUCGGAAUUACCCAGAAAGUGCAGCGACAGUGAGCGAUUGAAGCAUCCCGACGGAUCCAUCUCCAAACCCUCCAAUUGAUCGCCGAAGGGCCGCGGCCUCCGCCCUGCUCCGGAAUAUUUGGUAGAAGUAGUAGUAGACACCCUAAUAGCACAAACAAUUCAAUCCAGAAACGUGUAAAGCAUCUCAAAACGAAGUCAGGAAGUCAGCGAAUCGACCAACCAGAGAACCAACCUGGGAGGCCGCGGUGCCGACGAGCGAGGGCGGCAGGCCGCUGUACAGGCGCUCCCACCCCUCGUUCCUCACGACCUACUACAGCAGAAUCGGGGAUCACGGUAGCAUUAGACUCGUAUCAGGGCGAGAUUACUCGUCAGUUGGGAUGAAAUAGGAGAAGGGGUUUGGGGGGAGGACCAGGCACAUCUGGCGGACGGCGCCGUCCUUGAACGCCGGCUUGGAGGGGUCGCGCUCCGUCUGCUGCCGCGCGUUCACCUGCCGCAGAGACCCUCCGCUCAGGAACCAGAAGCAGGCAGCAAAGCAAGCAAGCAAUCGAAGCACGGGGAGGCGGGACGUACGGUCUGGAGGGGGUAGGUGAGGAGCUGGGCGACGAUCCCGCCGCCGGCGCCGGCGAGGCCGUUGAUCAGCGCGUCCGACAUCUCUGCGCCUGCUUCCCUUCGCUCCGCUUCGCCAGCCCGUGAAUCGCCGCGGCUGUACGUUAGGUUACCCGAAAAUUUUGGACUCCGGCGGCCUUCGCUGGCCUCCUUGGAUCGUAGUGGGAGGGAGACGGGGGAGGCGUGGUCUCCUUCGGUCCCGUGCUCUUCUCUGUUUCCCCCACCUUGAAGUACUCUUCAGACUUCUUCCUACCGUAGCACUAGUACUGCUGCCGCUCGUGGCUCUCGUCAACCUUUUUAUUAACGCGGUUCGUAAAAUACUCCGUGUUAGGACAAGUUUAAACGAAGUUAUACUCAACUUUCUAAACAAGUCAAAUCGAAUUGAUUAGUGAGAUUCCCCAACCACUAUGAGAUCACCCACCCGUCUUCAGCUGUGAAAACUUUUGGGGAAUUGCUAGGUUUCGUUUCUGUUUUUUCUUAUCCAGGUAUUUUUUCUGUUUCACUUUUCCUUUCAAAUUUAGGUUUCGUUCCAGUUGAGUUGAUGGAGAGCGGCGAGAGGAGUUUGUACUCCCCAGCUUGCCGGAUAUCUCACACCUUGGCUUCUUGUGAGAAAGCGCAGACAGUAUAUUCCUCAGGAGAAGACCAUACAGCGAUGUUUUAGUUGUUUAUCACCGGAAGUCCAGAACGGCCCAACGCAUCCUCGGAUGCUUCAUCGUGCAGAAGUUCAGGUCUGGAUGCCGCCAUGCCUGAAUAUGCAUACUCCUUUGACUUUUUGCUGUAGUCAUCCUGGAUCUAUAUCCUCCCUCUCUUCUAUCCUCCCUCUCUUCUUGCUUGGCUGAUGUAUUCAACACUUGAGACUUCACAAAUGGUAAAUAUACCAUGUUACUGUUACAAAAUUAAUGAUAAGAUGUUUAUCGAUGCACUAAUGUGCCAACAAACAAUCAGUCAUUACAUCUACCGGUGAUUUUAACAAGUUUUUUUUUGCGGGUAGGUGAUUUUAACAAGUUACCUGACGGCAUUUCGAACGCGUGAAAUCUUGCGGAGGGUUGUCAAUGACCUUUCCGAUGUAAGUAAGUGAUUUUUACACUAAUUGUAUAAUCUGGGGCAAGAGAUUUGACCUCCUGAUUUAUUAGUUUUUUGGAUAUGUCUUUGUUCUUCUUAGCUUCCUGUGAAAUUGUACUCCUGCAUAGAGUUUUAUGGUUUUCUAGGAAUUUUAGAAAGUCGUGAAAUCUUUACAUGAUGAUAUGUUUCUUCUAUUCUUAGGUUUGGAAAUCCUGAGCUGCAAAGAAGUCCCUGGAUUUCUCGUAUGCUUUGUUUUCUGAAAGAAAGGAAAAAAAGGUAAAUAAACAGAUGGGACGGUGACGCCGUAUAGCUAGCCGGCUUUUCCCGUCUCCUUCGCUCCUCGCAAACUUCUGUACUCUUCUGUUUUUGUAGGGGACGGUGUGCCGGCGUCACGAUCUGGCGAAACCCCUGCCUUUUCUGUUUUGUACCUAGUGUUGCGUCGACGAGGUUCCUACUCGGCUCCCAUCGAGGCGGCGGCGGUACAAAUUCCGUGUUAGUUUGGCGCGGCGGAGAGGACGGGGAACGAAUCCGCUGCGGCCCUGCCGCUCCCUUCUCUAAUCUGCGGCUAAAAAAAAACCAACCCCGCCUGCCACUUCAAUCGCAGCGGCAUGGAGCCGGGAGCCAAAUCAGAAGCAAACCAAAACGAGGAAGGAUCAGGUGCGGUGGGAAGCAGCGGCGGCAGCAGCAAGGUUUACCACGAGAGGCAAAGGAUGCAGUUCUGCCUCCUCCACGCCCUCAACAACCUUAUGCAGGUGACCCUCCGGCCUCCCGUUACUGCCAUCUUCUCGUGCUCUUGCCUAUCAGGCCUGCUUGCCUAUUCAUGAUUAGAGUAGCUUCGCUUGAGAACUUUGCGCGGUCUUAAGAUUUCCAGUAGAGCACGUAAAUUAAGUUCCGAUUGUCCACCUAAUUAUUCACAUUGGCACCCGACUUCACUCUUCCAAACAGCCCCGAGCAGUCGAAUUAUUCGGCAGGAAUUGUUAUAGUAGUUGAGCGUUGUGUUCUAGCUGUCCUCCCUUCGUACUGUCGAUGACUCGAUGGUGGACAUGUUUUUCAUACAAAAUUGAUUCCACCUUCCUAUCACUGCUUGUGUUGUGGUGAAAAAUCAGGGCAUACUGAACAGACAGAAAAUAUGCUCCUUGUCAUCUGAAAGCGCCAGCGACCUAAUUAUCGGUCCAUUCAGUGAGCACUGUUCGCAAUUGUUUUGACACUUCAAUGUGUAGCUCUCAUCCGCUUCUGUUCCACCAAAUGUAUUGAAGGCUAGCUAGGUGCGCACAUGAAUCAUGAAUUCCUAGCUGAUAACCAAUAGACAAAUCUUUCGGUCUUGUUCGUUUACUUAGAUGCUGUUUUAAGUUGCCUCUGAGGUGAAUUUGGGAAUUCCUAGCUGAUAACCAAUAGACAAACUUUCGGUCUUGUUCGUUUACUUAGAUGCUGUUUUAAAUUGCCUCUGAGGUGAAUUUGGAACAAAUAGUAGUUGCAACAUGCAAGAGCACAGGCAGAUAACAAAUACUCCCUCCGUUCCAUAAUUCUUGUCGUGGUCAAAUUUGAACUAAAACCACAACAAGAAUUAUGGAACGGAGGGAGUAUUAUCCAUUCCUUUGCUCCCACACCACCUGGUUUUAUCUGGACUCACCAUGCUUUAACUGUAUAAAUUGUGUUCUGUGUGGUUCAGGAAAAGGAAUCUUUCACCCGAGCUGAGUUGGAUGGUAUUUCUGAAAAUCUUGUUCUUACUGAUCCGAACAAGGACAAAUGGACUCCUCUAUCAUUGAUUUUUAAGCCACACCACAAUGCAUUAACUGGGAACUACGACGUAAAUGUACUUAUCACAGCGUUAGAAACUAGAAAGACAAAUGUAGUCUGGCAUGAUCGUCGAAAGGGGGCAUCUUCAAUAGAUUUGGAUGCAGGAGCACUGGUUGGUCUGAUGAUCAAUGUGCCUGUCAAGAGGUUGAGGGGGCUCUGGACCGGCAGGCAUUGGGUGGCAAUUCGGAGCAUUGAUGGUAUCUGGUUUAACUUGGACAGUGAUUUUUCUUCACCCAAGCAGUUUCAGGGCAAAGAACAACUAAUUGAGUUUCUGGACAGCAUUCUCAGUCAAGGUGGAGAACUCAUGAUCGUGCUGCGAGACGAAUAAUUGUACUGCUUCAACAGUGAAAGCACCUCCUCCGCGAUUUGUUGUCUUGUGUUCCCCAUACUUCUGAAUUGGCAAUCAUGAUGGGAUCACAUGCAUCUGCAACAGCAACUUCUCCGAAGACUUGCAACCUUAUUGGUAAGAAUCACGGGCAGGGCCUAUAGGGGUGAAGAUACAUGGAAUGUUCAAUUUGCCAAACUAUACAUCAGUGUCCUUCUGCUGUUGGCACAGUGCAUCGCACUCCUGUUUGAUUGAUUGUUGUUGCGUAUAUCAAAUGUUGGACAGUUAUCUGCAGAUAUAGCGCAUGCUUGGCAAUGGGCUUGUAAGCUUUGCGGUGAGCAACUGAGCAUACGUGAAACUGUUUUCUCUGUGCUGGGAGAAUUGUUAUCCUGUACGCAGAAUUUCCUGUUUGUUAUCCUGUACGCAGAGAUUUUUUUUUCUUUCGAACCGGAGUCAUUAAUUAAGCAGAAGAGAGGGCCCAGUUAAUUCUCAGAAAACCGGGCAAAAACCUUUGUGUGUUGUUUUUUUUAGGCGUUGGUGUGAUGUGUUGGGGCUUCUGUUGUGGUGCGAUUUUGCAUAUGCUGAUAUCCAUGUAUGCUUAUCUUGCCGCGUGCUGAGUGCUGUUGAAACCUGGAGUAUCAACUAAGGACUCGGUCUACUUAUCUCACCUUGCUUGUUGGAAGCAAAGCGCUGUAUACAUCCACCCGAGCGAUGAAAUGCAUUUCGGCUGUAUCUGAGUCUAGUGCCCUUGGUUAGCAGUCACAAUACGAUGGAAUGGCUAAAUUUCAAAGAGCUUUGUAAUGUACAAGAAUUGAAUACAAGCGGUUGGUCAGUCAUCCAUAAGUCUGCAGAUAUGAAGGCAGCUACCCACACAAAUUCACAGGCUGCUGAGUACAAUGUACAAACUCUGAAGUUAUACUGUAUAACAGUAACCAGGAGGGCAGAGCGGAAACAGGGUCUAGGUGAGCAAUCACAGCCUACCCAGUUUUGCCCGUCUUCUUCCGCCAGUACGUCGUCGCAGUGCUGUAGUGCUCAUUGCGUAUUGUCUUCGAGGCUGCUCUCCAGUCGCAAUUCUCCAUCUCUUCCCUGGCAGCCCUUCCUAUGGAUUCUCUGAGGUCCUUGGAGAAGAGGAGCUGUUCAAUCUUCCUUACACACUCGUCGAGAUCACCAGGUGUGAACAGGAAGCUGGUCUUACCCUCCUUGUCCUUGGGUAUUAUAUCAGGAAUUCCUCCAGCACGAGCAGCGACAACUGGGACUCCAGAAGCCAUGGACUCCAGCACUACUUGCCCAAGGGUCUCGGACUCGGAAGGCAUUGCAAAUACGUCCCCACUGGCGUACGCUUGUGAGAGUUCCUCGCCCUGGAGCAUUCCGGUGAAAACUGCAGGCAUGCCUGUGAACAUUUUUUCUAGCUCAGCCCUGCCAAGAUGAAACAACCCACAUAAACAUCUCCAGAUUUCAACGUCGAACACUGCAAUGGUUCAAAACAGUUGGCCGGAAACAUAAAGUCGGUUCUUAGUCAGACAUUGCAAACAAAGCAACUCAAGUUCUUAUUUAAUAUUUGUGUAUUGUUACUGGGUGCAUUACCUUGCUUGGUCCAGAUCUGUCUUGUGUGGAGAAAUAAUGAAAUAAACCCUCAGGUCGAACCAUGUAUAUAAUUAACUCAAAGAAACAGAGAAAGGAAUACUAAGCCACAAGUUGUGAGUAGGUUUUUCUCACAAUUCAGUCAGCAAUAACAUAUAGCAUCAGGCAUGUGCAAAAGAUAAGAAUGAAGUGCUCCAAAUUUGGCAUUUCAAUAUCGUAAACUGCUGAUAAACAUAUGUACUGUUUCAUCAGGUUUGUCAGCAAACAGUUUACAGUUGAAGAAUGACCCACCUGUAUGGUCCAUCUCCAACAAAAGCAAUUCUUGCUGCAGGGAGCCUUUCCAUAACCCUGAAUUGUUAGUGAAGUAAGUAAGGGAAAUGGCAAAUGGCACUCGUGUAGCAAACACUUAAUCGGGAGAUGAGUGGAUGCAUGAAAGGUUCAAGUAGGGGUGCUCAAAAACGGGUUGGGGAAAAACCAUCCAACCUGGCAGCUUGCAACGCUAGUGGACUCUAGUGUAUUGACUGAUUUGACUUGUUGGCUAGUUCAGAAAUUGAAUAGGAAAAAGGUUUUGCACGGUUUGGAGAAACCGAUUUUGAACACCCGUAGGUUCAAGUACACCCAACUUGAAACGAUUCAUUGGUUAAAGUGCUAAUAAGAUCACAGAAGUUAUGGUACAAGCACACCUAAAGCUAAAAUUCAAAGACGUACUAACAUAGGGACAGGCAGACAGCUGACAAAUUUGACUGUAUAAAAUGAAAAUUAGGCAGUCUAGCCGUUUUAACAGCAAUAAGCAGCACAAAAUAGUUACUAUAUGACUAUACCUAAAUACCAUGGAUGUAAAAUAUAUCACAUGGAUUCCACGAAUAGCACAUUGUGCUGGAAUACAUCGAAGAAGUGUCCCUUAUCUCCAUUUUUUCCAUUCAGUUUCAAAUGUUUCUAGUUCUAGUCUAGUACAUAUUGACAAGUCAUGAUAUAGUUUGUAUAACGGAAAAGCUAACCUCUUCAGAAAAUCCAAAUUCUUUUCGCGCCCAAAACGGCCCACAUGUACUAUCAAUGGUUUUUCUGGUUCACCGCCACUAAGAGAGAGGAAAAAAGAUCUGUUAGCCUAUGUAAAGUUUUUUUUCCCACUCUUUCUGACUGAAACUCUAAGCAAUAUACCUCAACUUGAUACGCAUUUCAUGCCUCUGAAAUUUAGGAUGGAAGCUUUCAGAAUCAACACCCUUGUUCCAAAGGCGUAUUCUGUUUGCUGAAGAGGCAAGGGGGUUUAUAGUUAGGACUCACAACGCGGCGAAAUAUAUAAAUACAGAUGUAUUGUAACUGCUUGACCUGAUACUACGUUAGCAGUUUCAAAAUCCUCGGCAAUAGCUACUGAAGGAACUAGAGUAAGAUCUGCAGACCUGUGGAGGCAUCCUUUAAACCAAAAUGAGAGUGUUAGGCUGUUAGCACAAACUAAGUGAUAAAGAUCAUCUUUAUUUUUUCUCAGUUCCUUACUUUUGUUGAGAACAAAAUGGAAGUGAUAACAGUGGGCUUACUUAUGAGACUCCAAGUGGGCCCAAGUAACCAAUUUAAAUUGUAUCCUGGUAAGUACCUGAAAGUCAUAACAAAAAAUUAACUCGAUAAUGUAAACCUAUUAACAACCCUGGCCCAACUGACACCAAGUAGAAUUUGUGAUAGGAAAAAUUACUUAGUACACUGGUAGGAACAACUAAAUGGAUGAAAAUAUAACUGGUGCAACUUAAAUGAAGCCUACUGAACAAAUGAAAGCAUAUCCAUUAGUGGCAGAGGGCAAAAUUAAGUUGGGUUUCUUGCACAUGCAUAUAUCUGGAGGGGCGUCAUCCUUCAUAUUACAAAAGAGAUGUCCAUGAUUUAUAGUCAAAUAUACCAUAUCGAACGACUUUGCAGCAUCUAACUGAGGUUGCAUGAACACACAUACUGUGCGGCUGUGUGCAGAAAAAGAUUCAUACUGUCGUGUCACCACAUGCCCACAUGCUUGGUUGCGAACCCACCUCUAUGUCCAAGUAAAUUACAUCACACAAUGUGCUGCAUCGCUUUAUGGAAUAUUUUCAAGAGCAGGCAUAACAAUUAAAGGAAGUUUGUCUCUUUGGAAUUAAAUUUGCACGCGAUUUCCCUCAAAAAAAAAUUGCACGCAGUGCAUUCCCCUGGUAAUGUGUGUGUUUAUCAUGAUCUAUUGUUAGCAAAUUCACUGGACAAUGACAAUCUUAUUGUACAAAACUACACGGAAAAAGUAUGGCCCUACAAUCCAGAGCUGAUCUCUGCUCGAGGGUUGAAAAAUAUGCACUGACAAAAUCAUACAUGCAGGAGAACCAAGCUCAGCUUGGGUGGUCAGCCCAGCGAGGUAUGCUGGCUGCACACCAGGGUUUGACCCCCGAAGGUCACAUUUUGGUGCAUCACCUUUGCGAAAAUUAAUAUAUGUAUCUAUAUACUGUAAGAAUGCAAUCGCGUAUCUCUUACAGUUUAAAUUCAAAAAACAAAUCAUACAUGCAGCGCUAUGCAGCUAAUAUGGUUCGUAGUUUCAAGAAGAGAAACUCACGCUGGAAGAUGUGUGUGAUAAGACAUCACCAUUGGAACCGAAAUCAUCUUCGCGAUAGCAAGAGCCCCAAAAACCUGAAAUCACAAUGGGUGGUAAUGAGAAACCACUGGGCAAAGACAAUUAAUGUCUAAGAGUUUUUUAUGGUUACCAUAAUUCCAGGUGAAGUAGCAUGGAUUAUAUCUGGUUUGAACUUUGUCACCGCAGAAAAUAUUCUGGGGCUCAACGCCAACGAGAGUGGAACAUUUUGGUACAGUGGACAUGGGAAGCUGAAAAACAGGAGUUUAGGCAAUCUGAAUGCAUGCAAAAUGAAGUUCCCCAGAGAUUGAAUUUUGACGACAUUCCAAAAUUAUAAACUUGACUGAGAAAAACAUUCAAGGAAAAUAUGGCACCAUCAAUUUCACGAUACAACUAGCAAAUGUUCCAAAUUAGCAUGGCAGGUGACUACAGGACACUUGCAUUUUGCUCUCUUUUUUUCUACGCGAGCAAAGGCUUAUUUUGCACUGGGGGUAUGUUUCUGUGCUUUCAGCAGAGUAGUUAUUCUUUUUUUUUUGCGGGGAAGCAGAGUAGUUCUUCGACUUGUCACCACGCUAAAAUGGAACGUGAAGAUAGUUCGUGUUGGAUUACCUCCACGAGCCAAUGACCUUCGCUCCAUGGAACUCUUCGGGGGCUCCUUUGUGUGUGGUGACGACCAAAACCUGAACCGAAUAAGCAGGCGUUGAUUCCGAGGUACAAGAACGAUCUUGAAAAAAAGGGGGAUACAUGCGCUGCACUACAAGCAGCCAGAAGGAGUCGUAACAAGGAUUAGUUACCUCGUCGCCCAUCUCUCGUAGAUGCUUGAUGAAAUUCUGGAACCGGUUCUUGUACCCAGAGAUGUAACUGCGAUCACACAGGAACAAGGAAAAGCCAUUGACUCAGAAUUCUCGAUAGAUCAAUACGCAGCAGGUUUCACAAAUCAUGCGUCCAGCAACCCGGUUACAGGCACGCGCCGGCAGAACAUCUCGAUCUGGUCUGAUCUAGUACAAUCCGGCCAGCGACUUGAGUGCUCAAUACUUGGGAGAGGAGGAGGAGGAGAGAGGAGACUGACGCGAAAGGCGAAGGCUCGACGAAGAGAGCAAUGCGAUGUGGCCUGGAGCUCCACUCGGCGUCCGCCUCCUCCACCUGCAGAAGCAGCGGCGCCGUCGUAUCUGCAGCUGCCUCCCCCAUCCUACUACUCAUAUGCUGGCUGUCACCACCACCACCACCGAUCCCCCAACUCAGCACGCCCCCACCGCGCGAAUUAUACACCGCCGGCUCCCCUCGUCCUUGGCGUCUACUACUCCCACCCGUGCCGUGCCCCCUAUCCUUCCUCCAAACCCGGCCUCCCGCCUCGCCUUCGAGUCCACGCAGCGAGGAGAAGGAGGAGGAGGCGGCGGCGCGUGGAAGCACGGGGACGGGACGCGUAGCCCCCGCGCGAGCACCACCGAGGCGCGACGCCGAAGCAACGACGGGGAGCGCCACUGGGAGAGGACGACGGCGACGUGAUGGACUGGGCAGUGGCCGCGGAAGAAGAAGAAAAAAAAAAUCGAGAGAGGGCGUCUAGUGGGCGAAAUACAGCAGACGGGCGGAGACGGGGGAAUCGAAUCGGUUCUCUUCUCCCUUCUCUGCGCCGAGGCGUGCUGCAGCCUGCAGGACUGGACUUCGCUUGCGGGUCGACGAGGGGAAGAGGAGAAGAGAAUAAUUGACGAGGCGGGCCGUGGCAUAUGCCUUUUUCCCCUGCCGCGGACCACCGCCCCGCCCGGAUCGCUUGCUGCCGUUACGAUGGUUGAGUCGGGAAUUUCGUGCCAAGUCUAUAGGGAACAGAUUCUAAAAUCCUUUUAUUCCUUUUGCGUGUUUUCAGCUCGGCAUAGCAUAUCCUUCCUCCUGUGGGCGAAGGCCGGCCGGGCGUCGAAUCUUUUCUUUCCUGGCAGCACCGGAACGCGAAUGGGGGAAUGAUUGGCGUUUCACACCUGCUGACACGCCCAGUUGCUGCCAGGGUUGCCCAUGCCAGGUACGAGUAGGAUUGUCCCUUGUUCAGUCCAGCCUAGCUCUGUCCCCCGCUACUGACCAACGGCCUUUUGCUUGCUGCCCCUGGCCCUGAUGCCCACGCCCACACAUGCGUCGAGCACGCAUGUUUUGUCUUGUUUUUUCUAUUUCUAGUCUUUGUCGCGUCGCAUGUACUGCUAGUAGCAGUGCAGAAACUUGCAAAGGUGCAGGUCACUAGUUUCUUCAUUUGGUGGAGAGAGCUACAAAUCGUGCAAUCCUUGAUCGAUUGGAUGUGUCGAGCGAGAGCGACAUUUUUUCUAUACGGACUGGAUGUAUCAUGUAUUGCUCAUCCUAUCGAGCAUCUCGAGCCGAGCCUUUUGAUGGUAUCUGAUGCCUUCCAUCCAGCUACCCGGCACCGGAAGGUUUAACAAAUAACAGGUGCGUGGUGCAUGAAGUGGGCGUUAAAUGUAGAAACCAUGCGCCACGGCACAAGCCGUACACUUUUGUUUACGACGAGCGUGCAGGUGUCUAUUUGUUUGGGGCGCACCGAAAACACGUAUUGAGGUUAUCGCUUUUUUUUUAUCUUGCUUCUCACCUUCUAACGUUCUACUGCGUGUUCUUAGAUCUAUCUACUGCCACGUUGGUCUGGUUACUACUCGACCGCCAGUCGCUCGCUAGAGGCCUCAGUCUCGUCAUUAAAGAGACAAAAGAAAUAUCCGAAGCAAUCGAUCUCAUCUGGAUCACCGGCGGCCGUACGUCCCCGUCCUGCAUUUGGCAGAUCAUUAUUCUUGGGGCGUGACCGGGCGAGAGCGACUCGAUCGGCUGCUUCAGAUUUCACAACUUGUGACUGAAAAAAAAAAUCCCGAUGCGAUGGGAACGAGAUUAUUGUGUCGAAACUAUACAAAGAAGGAAAAAUGGAGAGGGUACGAUUGAUCCUCAUGCCAUGCGCACGACCCAUCACGUGCCAACUGUUCGCGGAAACACGUGAAGAUAGUGUCUGGUGGCCAACAAAUUGGGUCCAGCCACGAAAACAUGUCCUGUUAAUCUCCUCAUGACUCUUUCUAUAUCUAACCCAACAGGCAAUAGCAGAUGCAGAUCGCGUGAUACCGUGAUACUAUCGCCCUUGCCCCUGUCCUAUUUGUCCUGUCAUCAUCAGGACAUUAUGUAUUCACAGACUAACCGGGAAUUGUGAUGUAUCGGAGUUGGAAGCGUGCCAAGUUACGCCAGAAGAUGUUGUUACGGCAGAGCGAGGGCUUGUAAUAACCGUGCAAGACUUCCAAAGGGUGAUGUUAUAGCGUAGCGUGCAACUGAUAUUUUCUGAUUACUUAGCCGCGUUUUGCAUUAGAGUAUGGUGGUUCUAUUUUAAUUCCGUUGGGUGGAAGCAAUCCUUGGUUUCAUGAUGCAUGAGAGCAUUUCGUGACCGAAAGCUCUUUGGCCCCUUUUAUCACUCGUACAAAACAGGUUAUAUGCAAUCCCUACCAGUGGCGGGUCUCUAAAACACGCCACUGAUGACCAUCCAUCAGUGACGGACAGAAAAAAGCCCGACGUUGAUGGCUCACAUGUGAACUCUAAAAAAACCAAAAAACCACCCAUCAGUGGCGGGUUUUAGCACCCUAUUAGUGGCCAUGCUAUCAGUGGCGGGUUUUACUCCAAACCCGCCACUGAUAGGGAGGUCAUCAGUGGCGGUUUUUAGAUAGAACCCACCAUUGAUGGCCCCCCAAAGACAACUGAAAUUUGAAAAAUUCAUAAAAAGUCAAAAAAAUAUGAUUCUUUUUGUAAAGUUGUAUCUUGCCAUGCCAAACAGUAUUGCCAAAGAUGCUUGCAAUUUUUUGUUUUAAAAAUGGUUUCUAUUUUUUAAAUAAAAAAGGAGUAUUUUGUGAAGCAAUAUGGCUCAAAAGUACACCUAUCUGAUUUUUACACGCUAGAAAAAUGAAAAAACACGGAUCCGUGUACUCACUCAUGAUUGGCCGAGGAGAACCCAUCUGGAUCGAUGACCUGGCCCUUUGGCCCGUCUAGAUCAAUCCCCACCUCCCUCCUUUGUCUCCCGAACAGAUCCCCUCCUCUCUCCCUCGUCUCUCCCCAUCCCCAUCCCCUCCCCUCCCUAUACCGUACCGAGGCAGCCCCAUGGAGGCUCACCCAUCUCCUUCAGCCCUUCUCACACGGCCGCCCCCCACCUGCUCUCUCCCUAAUCCCUAUCUCACACCCGAAGCCUCUCCUCCUCUCUAACCCUCCUCGCCUUCCUCCGUCCUUCCAUGGCGUCCGCCGGCUCGACCUCGGCGUCCCACUUCGCAGGCUCGAGCCCACCCCGACGGAUCCGCCACUAGCGAGGCCUCGCGCAGCUGGCCUCGACCCCACCACACCAGAUCCGCCGCCGCCCUCCAUCCGCCGGAUCCACUGCGCCUGAGCCCACGCGUCGCCGGAUCCGCAGCGCCCUAGCUUGCGUGCUUUCGGAUCCACCUCCUCCCAACCAUGGCGCCACCGGAAACGCCGCCCCCUAGCCCACCCGACACGGGCUCCGGUGCCGUCGGCCUCUUCUCCGGCCGGAUCUGGCCUCCCCUCUCAGGUAUGUACUCAUUCCCUCUCUCUACUCUCUCUCUAUCUCUAUGUGUGUGUGUUUCUCACGGUCUCUCUCUCGCUCCUGCAGAGCCGGCGACGAGCAGCUCCGUCGGCGGCACCGCCGCACCGGCGUCCUCCGACGUGCGUUUGGGGCGGGUCUGCGAGUGGCCCAUAUUAUUUUUUAUUUUUGCUGAAAUUCUAUUAGUGUCGGAUCUGUAUGUGCCCGCCACUGGUGGGUGCCCCCGUCGGUGUCGGUUCGAGCACAUGCCACUGAUCCUUUUUUUUCCGCCAGAGAUGGCCCUUUUUGUAGUAGUGUAUCAUUUUACUACUAUCUCAUAUGAAAAUCAGAAUUAAUUGACGAAGUAGACAACUUAGAAGAAUCCCAUGCUUUUAACGUCAAAUAAAAGAAAGAAAGAUUCUCAUGUGUACCGGCUCGUACCAGGCAUCCCUGCUGCAUAUAGCUUAUAGCAUAAGUUACAACAUCUUCCACUUUGGAUUACCAAGAUUCUCAGAGGGGAACACAAUCGAACAGGUUCGGCGACGCAUGAAGCUCGCAUGAAGAAGAAAAGAAUAAAGCUAUGACGUAUGAGACAGGAGGCGAAUUUUCUGCCGCUCGAUCCCCACGUGCAGCAAUGCAUGCUUUACUUUCUCACUUCUCAUGUACCAAGGGGAUGUUUUAAAAAUGCUUUAGGGCGAAGGGUGGUCAAUUCCGACCGGAUAAAACGCGACCGUUGAGAAAGAGGGGAGAGAGCUGCGCUAUCCGCUCGUCACAUUGACCCAACCGGCGGUCUCCCGCCGUCAUGCUGUCUCGCCACUCCGUCCAGCCCUAGCCGCCGUCGCUCCCUACUUAAGUUUGGGUGCCAAAUCUUAACUCAACUCCACCAUCACGUCCUCACCUCUGUCGUCAUCGUCAUGGCUAGGCGCCGCGGUUCAAUCUCUGCCGCACCCUUGUUGAUUGCCAACUCCGACUCGCUUGCCCGUGCCGUCUCGCCGGUCAGGAGAAAAAUAAGAUGCGGAGGGCGGAAGAGAGGUAUCGGGAGAGAGAUGUAGAAAGUGCUAAAGAGAUAAGGAGAGAAGUAUGUUACGUGCGGGAUUUUUAUGCAUGUGGGAUACACUGCGUCGGCCGUUAGGCAUUAGAGAGGGAUUGCAAAUGCUUUUAUUUGAAUCGAUGGGAGUAAGUUUAAGAAUGCAUAGGCUUGCUUAGAGCAUCUCCAUUCGUCCCACCUAUAUUUCAUCCGGCGCAUGGCCAUAUGAGGAGGCGCCGGUGCAAUAAUUUGUUUGGGGUGGAACCGGCACCCAGCCGCACCCCCAAACAUCGCUCGCCCAAAUUUAGUUUGUCUCACUAAAUUUAGUUUGUCUCACUAAAUUUAGUUCAUCCGGCGCAUGGCCAUAUGUGGUGGCCCGCGCUGCUUUUCAGCUUCAGGCGGCGCCCCCACUAGCCCCCCUGUGAGUAGGGAGUGGAUUGGGGGCGCCGGCUAAAUUCUUGUGUCACGCCGGCUACUUUUUGGAUUUAGGGGAGUGGACUGGGUGGGUUUUUCAGCGCCAGCGCUCCCAUUUAGCGUUUGGGGGGCAUUUGGGAGGGGAGGGGGGGGCGCUGGAGAUGCUGUUAGGUAGUCUUGCAUUUGCUCCCCAUGCGCCAAAUCUACAUACCUCCAAACAUACAAAAAAGCACGGAUGUUUGUAGAGGGGCUUUAAAGUUUCUAUCAUAUACCAUCUAAUCUUAAAUAAAUGAAUGAGAUGGAAGAUCACUUAAAUAUAUAUUUUUUAUGAAAUGCCCUAGACCAUCAAUUGUAGGUUUUCUUCAUAGAAGUGUUUGAGUGAUUAGAGUUUUCUUCAUAGAAGUAAUGAUUAGAAUUGAAAGUUUUCAAAUUUUCGGUGGCAAUGUACUGAGCUGGAUUGGGCUGGGCUGAAAGAGCAAGUCGGGCCGAAUGACCCGUUCCGUUAGUUGUCAGUGCCAUCGCACAAAACAAUCCCCUAAGAAAAAAUUCACUCAAUCAGCAUUCAGCAGGAGCCAGGAACCCGCAAGGCGGCAACACCCUAGUUCACCCUCAUUUUCCCCUUUACUUCCCGCCAUCGAAGCCGUUCACUUUUCGCCGCCGCUUGGGGCUCCCGCUGCGUGCUGCGCCGGCGAUGGAGAUGGAGGACAUGGAGAUGCCAGAUCCGGAGGAGCUCGAGUGGAUGGAGAGCCACGGCCUUCUCCCGGAAGAAGAGGAGGACACCUACUUCGACGACCCCGACGAGGGCUUCCUCCCGGCCGCUGACGACGCGAGCAAACCUCGCGACCCCCCGCAGGAGGCCGCCGUAUCCCCUGCAAAGCCAGCAGGUAAGUACCACUCCAUCUCGAUAGAUCACAACCCACAAUUCUAGGCCUCCAUUGUUUGGACUGCCGUGCUGAUACAAUCGACCAAAUUUGUACGAAGAGGAAGUGUCGGAGCCCAAUCUGAAGCGGCCUUCCCCUCCGCCUCCAGUGGAGCAGGAGGAGGAGAGGAGAAAGCGGAGGAAUGUAGAUCGGGAGGAUUCGGUGGACGAAGACUGGCUGCGGUACUCGCCCCCUACCGCCGUUGAAAUCGUCGCCGAGAAGAUAGUUUCGCGUUUCGCGUCGGAGAUCCAGGGUGACUGUAUGCCCGUCACAGCGCCCAACGGAGAGAGGGUUUAUGCUAAGCUUGUGACGGAGAAAUUGGUUAGCGAAGUAAUCGAGGGGUCUAGGCGAAGGACUCCAAUUUCCAAUCCCAACCACAAGGGUUAGUUACUAAUAAGUAGUGCACUUCGCUUUUGCUCCCUUAAUCAUUCAUUUUAAGUUAAUUUUGACUUACUUUGUUAAUACACCCCUGUGCUACUUUCUUCUGCAGGGCUUCUCUCAGAAUCCUUUCAUUCACUAACUAUGCGAGCAGAGCAAGAGGCUCUAGCCAAGGUACAUAUGUGAGAUCAAUAGAUAAUAGUAAUGCAACUGGAUUGUUUUACUACAUCACCAUUCUGACCAAGUAGGCAUCAUUUACGAGAAACAAACAGUGAUUUAAAUGGUUAUUUGGGUAACACUACUUUUAUGUCUGGGCAUCACUAUGUUACUCAACUUGAUGGUUUCUCUUCUUAGGGAUAAACUUCCAUGGACUAACCCCAAAAUAGAGAAUUUGUAGUUUUUUUAAUUGUGGACUUCCCAACCAGAAAUACCAUGUGUGAUCCCAGAUACCAUAAUUGUACUAUUUUUUGGAGCACUGGAGUCAAAAACAAAAUCGUCAUCCUUAAGUAUUGGGAAUAUGACAGGUCUACUUUCUUUUCCUAAGCAAGUUCACUAUGAAUUCUGACUACUAUCCCUGAGUUGGUUGCUGACUAAGCAUCACUAGUGCCAUGUUAAUUGCUGCUCUCUGGGCAACAAGUUGAAAAUAUCUUACUAAUCCAUGUUUGUAAUGCCUAUGAAGGCCUUGCUGGAAAGCACAGAGAAACAGGAUAUUGGAGAUGUCGAGGGUUGUCCAGUGACUCCAGUAGUUACAGAACAACUUUGGGUGGAGAAAUACGCACCACACUCUUUCACUGAGCUUUUAAGUGACGAGCACACAAACAGGGAGGUAAAUAAUCAUCCCAUUUUGUUAAGAAAUGUGUUUAUAAGUGCAGAUCUUUGCUGCAUGGACUUCUAGUUGAAUUUUUUUACUUGACAUUCCUUGUCCAGGUUCUUCUAUGGCUAAAACAAUGGGACUCCUGUGUGUUUGGGUCCCAUAUUCGGGCUACAAGUGAUGAUACUUUAUCCGCCUUACGUCGGCAUUCUUGUGCCAUUCAAAAGAAUUCAAGUAACAGAAGUUUCUUGUCCAAGAGCAGGGCAGGCUAUGCCAUGGGUCAAGAUAGUAUGCCCCAAAAUGCACCUGGUAGCAACUCAGAAAAUCCGAGAAGUACCUUUAACAAAAGGUCCUCUGUUGAUAAUGCACCAGAACAGAAGGUGGGUUAGUACUAGUGUAGUGUGACUUGCAUACAUGACUGUAAGCUGUACCUGUAGUAAGGAGCUGCUGGUUUGUUACUGCAUUUGAAUAACUUCCUGAUGUUGCAGGUGUUGCUACUAUGUGGUCCAGCUGGCCUCGGAAAGACGACGCUUGCUCAUGUGGCGGCCAAACAUUGUGGUUACCAUGUUGUUGAGGUCUGAAUAUACGAUCAACAGUAUUUGUUGUUUAUUGUGUGGUAGCUUCUAUGGUAUUCAUUGUGAUGCUCCAUGAUUGCAAUGUCUAAUCACUCCCAAUAAGAGCGUACACAUUUUCUGCUACAUGAUUAGCGUAUCAGAUAUAUCUGUUGCCGUCCUUCUGAAUUGCCUUCAAUUUUGUUACGCAUCUAGUCACAACUAGAUAUCAUUGCAUGUUAUUUUGAUAUUUUAUACACUGUAAAACUAGAUAUUGUUGGAUAUGAUUUUGAUAUUUUAUCAGUCUUGCAUUUGUUUAAAACCUAUGGUGACAUGUUCUUUAGCAACAUUUCCCCCACUAUCCAGUUUAAUAUUGUCUCUUGUUGGUUAUGGUUGAGUGUCUAGUUUGCCUAUUGGUCUAUGGGCCAGCCCUCGUCUGCUUAUUGCUACCUGAAUACAAAUUCGGUACAUUGCUUAUUUUAAAUACUACAUACAUGCAGAUAAAUGCCAGUGAUGAUCGUUCUGCUUCAUCCAUUGAACCAAAAAUUCUUGAUGUAGUUCAGAUGAACUCUAUCAUGUCAGAUUCCAAACCUAAGUGUCUGGUGAGUUAAGUUAUGCUACCAGAUAAGCUACGAAGAACAAGUUAUGCGACCAAUUUCUUGAAUCACUUCCCCCGUACUUUGUUAAGUUCUACUGGCAUGUGUAGGUAAUUGAUGAAAUUGAUGGAGCGCUUGGUGAUGGAAAAGGCGCCGUGGAGGUUAUUUUGAAGAUGGUAAGUUGGCUGUAUCCUAGUCCUAAUAUCAUGAUCUUUCAACACUGUCAUUAUUAUGCUCCCUUUUCAUCAUUAAUUUCCACCUUUCCUUUUUUCUGUUUAUCAAACAGUAUUCUGCAUUGUUGUUCAGUUGAGAACUGAGGAAGGCUAUUCUCCUCAGCAUAAUGCAUAUGAAUACAUUUCUAUGAUUCAUGAAUGAUUGGCUCUUUCUGGUACAGAUCAAUGCUGAAAAGAACAAUAAUUCUGACAGAAGCACUGGUGGCGAAGAAACUCAAGUCCAAAAAUCUUCCUCAAGGAAAGGUCAUAGAAUAGCAAAACUAUUGAGGCCUGUAAGCAAUGAUGUCGUGCUGUCACUUGCCAUCAUUUUAAUGCAUUCACAGUUUAUUAAACCAUACGAUAUCAUUUACAGGUAAUUUGUAUAUGCAAUGAUCUUUAUGCUCCAGCCUUGAGAAAACUACGCCAAGUAGCCAAGUAAUAUUUUCUUCUUGUUUUUUUUUAGUUUUGUACGGUCCUAAAAUCAUUUAAACUUUUCUUAUAAGGAUUGGUUUAAGUUUACAGGGUUCAUAUUUUCGUGCAGCCAACAAUUAGUCGUGUGGUGAACAGGUGAUGUAAAUGCACUUACCUAACAACAUCGAACAGUCUAUUGUAUAUUCAAAUGAUACAUUUUGUUCAUGAAUAAUUUUUGCGUAUUUAGGCUCAAGUACAUAUGCAAGAAGGAAGGAUUCAAGACAAGUUCAAUUGCCCUUUCUGCAUUAGCAGAUUAUACUGGUACAUUUUCUUUUGCUCCAUUCAAGCCAUAAAUAUACUUAAUAUUGGUGUAUAAUGCAAUACGUAUUUUUUCUAUAACAAUAGCAAAACUGAGAUCAGCUAUUCUAAUCGAUUAAUGGACAUGCGAUAUCUCCUUUUUGAGUGGCAAUACUUGUAUUUCUAGGCUUCUAGCUGUCUUCCUAUGUUUGGGCGACCCAAUAGUUCUUUACUCCUACAAAUGUGUAUUUAGCUAAUUAUUCAGGUUCAUGACCAACCAAGCUCAUACAGGCUACAGUGUAUGUUUAAUAUAUAUUUUUGAACGGGAAAGAGCUUCAUUACUUCAUCACCCCUACCCAGUUAGACAACUAAGUUGAACAGCCACGUGCACACCAUCAGCCUGGCUUCUACGGCUAGAACUAGCCAAGUCAUGAGCCAAACUAUUACAAUCUCUACUCACAUGGUCAACAGAAUAGUCAGGGAAACUCUUUAGCAGCUCCUUCAUGUCAUCAUACAGGCUUCCCAGCAGGAAGAGCCACAUGCCAUCAUCUUGCAGAGCCUUCACUAGCAACAAACAGUCGGACUCCACCUCAGUUGCUUUACGGGAAAACUGUAGCGCUGAGAUAAUGCCUUCCUUGCAAGCAACUGCUUCUGCUUCCAAAGCGCUGUAGCAGCCCGUAAUCAGGCCAUUGGACAGAAGCAGAUGAUGGCCGUGAUCGUCUGUAAUAGCUGCACCCCAGUGACCACAUCCAGUCAGUUCUAAGAAGCUGGCAUCAAUAUUCAGUUUCAGCUGCUGACGUGGUCUCCUUAGUGUAGUUCAGGGGCGCACCCCCCACCCCCACCCCACCAGCUUAGUGUUUUUUAUUACUAGGUACUCCCUCUGUCCAUAAUUCUUGUUGAAAUCUUAUAUGUAUCUAGACACUUUUUAGGAAUAGAUACAUCCAUUUUUUGACAAAUUUGAGACAAGAAUUAUGGAACGGAGAUAGUACUUAUUUAGACUUAUAAUUCUAGAAAAUAGGUAAGUUAGCCCCCACCAGCUUCUGGUCUAUUUUCACCUUCCCCCACUGGGUGACGCCGGCCGCACAACUGUCUGCGCCCUCUUGUUGCAAGCAGGACAUUAUCCUAUACUGUGGAACAUAUGACACAACCGUCCUAAUACCUUUGCUUACUUUCAGCAUUUGACUAAAAGAUCUUUAUAUGCUGACAUACUUUGGGCACCUCUUUCCAUGCAUCUGAGACACUUAGGAUCCUGUUUGGAGCUUAUUCGAAUUAACCCUGUGCAGUGCUGGCGGCCAAAUGCUUUCACAUGCGUUAUCUUAAGUUCACUUUUCAGUCUUGGACCUGGAACCUGUUCUUUUGCCAUCUGUAGUGCCACUUCUUUUGCUUGUAUUAUGCACUUAUUUAUACAGAGAUGGACAAAGGGAAUUGCUAGUGUAUGUAUAGAUUUCUUUUAUUCAUGUGAUGACUGGUUAGCAUCAUUGAAAUAAGACUAAGUGAACAAAGACUAUCUGCAGAAUGUGACAUUCGAUCAUGCCUGAACACACUUCAAUUUCUGAACAAGAAGAGAGAGGCACUAAACAUCGUAAGCGAGCAAACUGAGAUCGCCACCUGUUGGCUGAUGUUAUUAUUUGAAGGGUAUAGUGUCCAUUUCUCAUUGUUAUGUGUUGUUGAGCAGUCAGGGUUUGAAUCACAAGUCAUUGGACGGAAGGACAUGUCAAAAAGCAUCCUUGAUGUUUGGAAACAGGUCUGAUGUUUGCUUGCUUCAUACUUCAUUUAUUUUAUUUUCUGUGGACUCCAUCAUUGGUCAAGCAACGAUUGUCCCAAACUUUCAAUACUGGUGCUGAAAACGAGUGCCAAGCAUAACUUCAUAAGGCAAUGCAUAUCACAGAUUGCUGCUAUAUAUGUUUCAUGUAAAAAUAACAGUAAUUUUGCUCAGUGUACCAUUUAUCAUCUUAGCAAGUUUUCUUCACAGGUUCUUCAAAAGAAAAAACUCAAGCGGGCAGAAAUGGCUGAUAGUCACGUCAGCAGUGACAAGGACAUUGGUUCUCUUUUCUCACUCAUAUCUAACCGGUAAAGUUUAGUUUAAUUGUUGACUUUGCAGUUUGUUUGUACAUGGACUUGGUUCACUUCCUUAUUAUGUCACAUUGUAUUUGCAGUGGUGACUAUGAUGUUACCAUGGAUGGGAUUCAUGAAAACUUCUUAAGACUCUCUUAUCAUGAUCCAAUGUUGCAUAAGACGGUAUAUAUUCUAGCUGACCAUAUAUGAUAUUUGAUUUUCUUACUUUUCAAUUAUCAUACACCAAUACUUGCACUUCAAACUAAAUUAGAGGUGAGGCUAGAGCCUUACUGUGUGAACCUUGUGAGCCCACCCUUGCACCCCAGGAGAGUUCAUCAGUUUCUUGCUUCGUAAAUAUAUUUGCAAACUUACUAGCCCGAACCACCUUACAGGUGAAAUGCCUUGAUGUACUUGGAGUUUCUGAUUCUAUGAUGCAGUAUGUUUUUCGAACUCAGCACAUGUCACUCCAAGGUAGCAUCUGAAUCUUUAUUACCUACUUUUUGAUAAAUAUUGGACUAACUUGAAAAGUUUAUCUUCAUACUUCAGUGUAUCAACCUCCUAUUGCCAUCACUAUAAGCCGUAUGGUUGCUCAAGUUGAGAAGCCGAAUAUUGAAUGGCCAAAAGCUUUGCAAAGGUAAAUUUUACAAAUAUAUACUGUUGCUGUACACUAGCAGGGUUAACAUGACUUUGUUUUUAGGUGCCGAACAAUGCUUUUGGAAAAGAAGGACAGUCUGAAGACCUGGCAAAACCGAAUGUCGCCACUCAUUUCAAGGCACCUGUCAGUGGAAUCUUUUGUCAAAGACAUUGCUUCCCCCUUUUUACAUAUUCUCUCCCCUUUGAGUUUGAGACCAGUAAGUUCUCGGUCACCUUAGUUAUGUUCUUCUAAUCCUCGAUUGUCAUACUUCAGUGUUGGCAUACAGUAAUUUGUUGGUCAAAUUCAUCUUGGUUUCUAAAAUCAAGACACUAGAGCAAGGUUUUGCAUGGCAAUGUAAUCCCGAUCCUGUACACCAAAACAUUCUACAAUUUAUGCACAAAUGAAAAUGGAACGAAUGCUUUAACCAAUCUACCUAAAACAAUUUAGUAACUAAGGGAAGGGUCUGAGUUCUUGAGAGGACCAUAUAUCAAAUGAACUAAAACAACGACAACAAUUUAGGAUCGGAGGGAGUAUAUCGUAUCUCCUCUUCCUAUCAGAUCGGUCUUUUUGGGUUAGGUGGUUGGUUGCUAUAUCUUAACAGAUCCUACAUGGCAUUACAAUUUCUAUAUUUGUUUUUGUAUAUUUCCAUCCCUGUUAGGUUUUUAACCGUACAUGAUAUGUUCAGGUGGCACUGAAUUUGCUGUCGGAGAGGGAGAAAGAUGAUCUGCUGCAGCUGGUUGAUACCAUGGUUUCUUACUCGGUCACAUACAAAAACACAAAGUUUGAACCUCAAGAAAGGACACAUGGAUCUAUUGUGUCUGCUGAUGUUCCUUUACUUUCUCUCGAUCCUCCACUCAAUGAUAUUAUAAGCUUUAAGGUUCUUUUCAGUUGUUUUGUUCUUUUAUUUCACAUUCUGCUUUCAUCUUACUAUACUUGACAAAGCUUUUGAUUUCAGGAGUAUCAAUCCGAGCACAUUGGUCUCUCUUUGGCCAUGAAACAGGUGUUGGUGCACGAGGUGAGUAGUAAUUCCAGGUCUUUUAACUUGCAUGCAUGGAACCCUUUAGCCAUAGCCAUAUCUUAGCAUUGGCCACCUUUAAAAUUCCUUUACUGACUAAUUUAACUUAUUUGAUCUAAGAAACCAAUUAUCAUUAGUUUCUGUUUCUGUGCAACACUCCAUCUUACCGUUUGCUUAUCAUGAUUUCUUGUCAAAUGUAAACUGACCAAUGCAUAUUGCAUUGCUAUUAUUCCACUAUUUGAAAAAUUGAUUGUACCACAUGACAUUGAGUUAGCAUUUUAUCUGCACAAAAACCUACAUCCAGAACCUGAUUCCAAAUGUCAAUUGUUUACUUUUUUUCUGCAUCUAGUGGAUGCAGCAGCUGUUUUUGCAUGUAUCUAGAUUCAUUACUUACUUUCCUUUUGAGAACUGAGCUUCUAGUAUCUUUUAUCUAUUAUAACUCAUGUUCACUUCAACUAUUACUAGCAAGAAACCCGAGUAAAAAAGUUCAUACUGCAAGUUUACAGGACCAUUUACUUUCAGUUGAAUUGAGGUACUCUCGGUUUAUCUAAAAAUUCAUGCUAGAAUCAUGGUGUUUUUGCAUAACAUAUUGAAGUGAGUACUGAGCAAUCCGAGAUCUUUGUAUCAACGGCCAUCACCACAACUGGUUUGUUUGUAGGAGUAAACAUAAACAUAUUUGACAGUCCUAUGGAAGGGUGGGUGCUUGGGUUUAUGGUUCACAUAUGUAUGCACCUUGAAAAAAGAAACAUAGAUAUGCAUCAUGCUAGGACAUUAGCACCUGCGAAAUAUCAUGUAGAAGUAUGGUCAAACGUGUAUUGUUAAAAAAGUAACUUGAAUCUUGCCUUUUUUGUGCAGGGUGUAUUUUGAUUCUUUUUUUUGCAUGAUUUGUUUGCUGUUGUGCAUGUAUUUUUACAUGAUGCACACCUAUGUUUUUUUUGUGAAUUUUUAAAGAUGCACAAAUAUCUAAAUCCUAAACUCAAGCACUCAUACAUGCACAUACAAAAUCCAUCCAUUGUGAAAACUGCAAUAACGAUAUAAUCCCCUCUGACACACAGUCUUAGAGUUCUUCUAAUGUUGCCAGGAGUUUCAUGUUGGAAAAUGCCAUACCGGCAACAGAAAAAGCGACAGUUAUUAUUAUUUCUAACAUGGGUUUUUCUCCAGGUAGAGAAGCAGAAGAUCAUCAAAGAUAGUGCUGGAAAAUUGUUGAACCAAACUAAUGGAGUUAGGAGUGAAAUUCCAACAACUUCAAGCCACAAAGCAGCAGCUAGUACAAAUGUUUCUGCAUUGGAUUCUUCCAAAACGCGCAACCUAGCUACACUUCCAAUGCAAUUAAACUCAGGCUCUAGUUUGAGUGUUAAAGAUCCUACGCCUGCAAAGAAACACUCAAGUCGUCCAACUGAUUUCUUUCAUAGGUAAUGUGGCAAUGAGCGUUAUUUUUCAGAUAUCAUUGUGAUUGCAAGGCGUUAAUUAUGAAGCUAACUAUUUUCCUUGUCAACAACAGUUUCAGGAAAGAAAGACCGGUGGGUGCAAAGCCUCGUAAUGAUGCCGCGCAGCAAAGAGCAACAACACAGAGGGAUUUACGUCCACUGAUCUUCAAAUACAACGAGGUUUGUUCAUUACGUUUUCACCAUGAUACCAUUUUUUCUUUAGUGAGCCAAACUUUAAACAUCAUGUUUGUGCACUGAUCAUUAGAAACGUGAAAACAAGGACAAUCUUGCAGGAUUGCAAUGUCCCUUUUUCGUAAAACCGAUAGUGCAUUAACAUAGUUGCACUGCAAGCCUGCAUGGCUGAUGGAACUAGGCAAAAAGCUGCAUAGUAGUAACAUUGUUAACUGUCAUUGGCACAUCCUCCUUUUCUACAGAAGUAAUGCAUUACUUUUUAUGUUUCUAGUUGCUACAUUGGAUGCCCUAAGCUAGAACUGUGUUGCUUAGAGAACAUUACACUAGCUCCAUUACCAAAUUGAGUUAUGGAGCUAACUAACAAGUGUAGCUAUGGUUAGUCAAUCAAUUGUUGGUUGAAGUGGUACUCCCUCCGUCUUAUAUUAAGUGACUUUCUAUUACAUGUAUCUAGAUACUUUUUAGGUAUAGAUAGAUCCAUUUUUGGACAAAUUUGAGUCACUUAAUAUGGGACGGAGGGAAUAUUUAAUUACCAGAGAGUUCUUGUUUAAAACUGAUCCAAUGUGAAUUUUUCAAAGUAGCCUGGUACUUUUAUGCCUUUUCCCUCUAGUUCUUUGGAGUCAAACCUGUUGGACUCUAAAUGCUUCUCAUAUAUUUUGGAUUUGUUCUAACAACAAUAUUAUCUCAUGAAUGUGAUUCUUUACAGGGCUUCACAAAUGCGGUAAAAAGACCAGUGAGAGUCCGUGACCUUCUGCUCUAGCUAGGUCCAUUUGGUUUCCUGCACUUUAUGUCUUGUAUAUUACUCCCUCCAUUCCAUAAUAUAAGUCAUACUAGACCAGACUUUGAUCACAAAUUAUUUUGUUAAUAUGUGGUUUAUAUGCCAUGAUAUUGGUAUAUAACUAGUUUCUUUUUCCAAAAUAAGUAGUAAUACUCGUGACUUCAUAUCUUAUGAGACAUAUACUAAUGGAGUAAUUCUUGGUCAAAGUUGUCUUAACGAAACUAGAUGUCUUAUGAGACAUCUUAUAAUAUGAAGCUGAGGGAGUAAUUGUGUCAUUAUUUUCAUACAUUUAGCUGGAUCUUGUGUAUAACACAACAAUUGGUAUAAUGGUUUGCAAACUACUUCUUCCAUUUCACUAUAUAUGUCAAGAUGGCAAUGGAUAGUCAAAAUGUGGAUAUCCAUGAAUAUCCAACUCAUGGAUCGCGGAUAUGGAACGGAUUUUCGAUCCAUGGAUAUUCAUGAAUGGAUACCUGCCAACUCGUGGAGCGGGCACGGAUAUCACAUUUGAUCCAUGGAUAUCCAUGGAUACCCGGUAUUUAUUAAAAUAAAUAAAUUAUUGACAUGUGGGUCCAUUAGUUAGCUAGAUUGAGUCAUGUAAACAGUCUCCUUCCCAAUCAACCCUACCCUAACAACUUCUCUCUAAGUCCCACACUCCCACCCCACGAGCCGCCGACCUUGAUCUGUCCUCGACUCCUGAUUCCCCCAUCGAUCCCCUCUCUCUUCCUGAUAUGUUGUUGUUGCUCCUGUUUAUGAUGUAUAUUGCAUGGAUAAUCAAUGGAUACCCGGAUACCCAGUAGAUAUGGAUGCGGAUAUGGUUUUGCAUCCACGGAUACUUUCAUGGAUGGAUAGUUGAUUUGGCGAUGGAUAUAGAUUUGAUCGACCGUCCAAACCCGCCCCAUUGCCAUCCUGAUAUAUAUGUUCCUUGUCUUAGUAACCCUGUUUCGAUAUUUUUUUUUCCUUUUGUUUUCUCAUCAUCAAAUAUUUUUCACAUCUUUCUCUUCUACGAAAACGCAUGAACAUUUUUUAUAUGCAUGAACGUUUCAUUUGAAUUAUGUGAAUUUUCUUUAAGUCGUGUCCAUCAUUUUAGAAAAACAUGAAUUUGAUAAAAUAUAAUUCUUAAAAUAUUAAUGAGUAUCAAAAGUAAUGUUCAUGGGUCUAAGAGAUGUAUAUGAAUGUAAAAAAAUGUUCAUGACCUGUGAAUAAAUGUUUAUAUAGUUGAAAGGAAAAAUUGCUAUGAAAGAGAAGUCAAAAAAAGAAGGUAAAUAAACAAGUAAGCUAAUGCAUACAAUAAAGAAGGAAAAAGUGAAAAAGAAAGGAAAGCGUUAUGUGUUCGAAAUUUUAUGACAUGAAUUUUCCACCAUAGAAAAUUAAAAGAAAGCCAAAUAAAGAAAAGAAACGAAACGAAAAAAAAAGUUGAAAAUGGAAAAAUAAAACAAAAGUACAGAUAACAACGAAAGAGAAAUCAACGAAGUAGGGUGUAAACUGAUUGCGAUAGGAUAAUGCUCUUUCCAUAUCUUUUACCAUAUUAUUUUGAUGGAUUUGAAGUGAAACGGAUAAUGACUGGCUGCGGAUUAUUUCGGAUGACUGAUUUGGAAUGAAAAUGAAGCGUACUUGGAAACAAACAAAAAUAUCAGAUAAAUAUGUGAGAGAAGACACAAUUUUAUUUUAAUCAUGCAAACGACAUGAACAAAACACUUAUCUAAGUGCAUAAUAACACUUGAAGAAGGUGGAUAAAGCUUGUUUCCUGUUUGCGCUGCAAAGCCUAAAUUGCUGGCUGCUAAUCCAGUUGAUCAGCCUCAUUAUUCGUUAUCCAUUAGUUCGUUGUCCUAUACAUCGGCAGCAUGCAAUUUAAUACGGAGUAAAAUAUAUUGUGUUGCGGUUUGCAAAAAGUUUAAGAAAUAGCAGCAAUGAUCAAGAAGGUAAUCAGACAUAUUUGCAUAUCUAAGUUCUCCCCUAAAGUUGAAGUACUGUACAGAUCAUAUCACUAAUUCUUUCACCAUCACCAGCGUCUUCUGUUGCUAUAAAAGCCUAGGACAUAUUAACCAUACCAUAACCCUAAAAUCGGACGUAAAUUUGAAGCGUGAUAUUUUUUUAGAAUCUUUGAAGCGUGAUACUCCUUUUUUUCUUUUUUUUUGAGAGGAAGCGAGAUACUCCUAUGUACUCUUUCCAUUCAUUGUUUUUCUAUGCAAGUUUGAACUAAAACAACGACAAAAAUAAUUUAGAAAGGAGGGAAUACGUUUUUUUUUAGGGGUACGGAGGUAGUACGUUCUAUUUACAUUCCUGCCGGAGCGACACAUCUUUCCCAUUGGGCUGGCCUGGCCUGGCCCAGCCUCGUUUCCAGCAGUCCGAAAGUCCGGAAAAGUCAUCUCCUCGUCGCCUCGUCGGACAGUGCAAUUGCACGGGCGAGAGAUAGUGGUGGUCUGUUGUUUCUCAGAGCUGGGAGGGUGAGACCGUGAGAGCAUCUAUGGAAACCAACGCCGCCGGCGCCGGCCGACGAGGGGGAGGAGGCAGGAGUGGCACAGUGAAGCAGCUGAACGUGGGCGGCAAACUCUUCUCCAUGGAGGCAAGUUCCCUCUCCCUCUCCCUCUCUCUCGAUCCCUCCCCAACCCCAACCUUCGUGGACCGCGACCCCGCCCUCCUGUCCGCGAUCCUCUCCGCCAUCCGCGCCCCAUCCUCCCCGCCGGCCUUCCCAGUCCGUAUCCUCCUUGACGAGGCCCUCUUCUACGGCCUCCAUGCCCAGCUCCUCGCCGCGCUCUCCCCUCCGCCCCUCCUCGGCUUCUCCGCCUCCCUCUCCUCCACCCUGUCCCCCGCCUCCGAGCCUUUCCCCACCGCCCUCGCGGCGCACCACGACGGCUCCCUAUGCCUCGCCCACGGCGCCGGCCAGCUCACUUACUACUCCCCUGCGCUGGACCACCUCACCACUUUCCGAACCCACCUCCACCACACCACCUCCCUCCGGCAACUGCAUCCCAAUCUCGCCCUUGUCGGGUCCGUCUCCUCCCCCGGACUCCAUGUGUACGACUUCCUCGAAGGUAGGCGCGUCGCCUCCGUCGAAUGGUCAGACCCAACCGACCUUCGCACCCUCAAAGCGAAUGUCAUUGCCAUUGCCGCCCGUCCUCCUGCUGAUGCUACUGACAGGAAUUCACCGAUUUUCGCUACAUUCGAGUGCCCGCACCGGGAGAACUGCAUCCUAGCGAUUGACCCUGUAACUCUGAAGCCCAUACAGGAGAUUGGCCGGCAAAGUGGGACUGCGGCUAAGUCAUCUUCGCCGGGUCGAGUAGCACACCUGCAGGAGCUUGGGCUGGUGUUUGUUUCAUCUGUAAGCUCGGGUGCAUUUGGCUACUCUGGGUACAUGAGGCUGUGGGACAUUCGGUCUGGGAAUGUGGUGUGGGAGACAAGCGAGCCAGGGGGAUCUGGAAGAAGCAACAGGUUUGGAGAUCCAUUCGCGGAUGCAGAUGUCAAUGUGAAGCAGUUGAUGCUUUACAAGGUGUGCUCAAAGUCAGGAGAUAUUGGAGUUGCAGACCUGAGAUGCCUUGGUAAUGACCCUUGGGUGUAUAUGUCAUCAGGACCAAGAGGGAGUGGAGGGGGUCAUGGCAGUAUUCUGCAUUGCUACAAGUCCCAGGUGUUUGUCAGCCGGAACGACGGAUUAGAGGUUUGGUGCCGACUGAAAGAACAACGCAAUGGCACAUGCAACUUGGCAGAUCAACAAAGAGCAAAGGAAAUACUCGACAGAGAAGGAAUUAAUGAAAAUAGUUUUAGGAGCUGCUAUGUGGAUACUGAAGAGGAUUCUAAGCGUGGGAUGAUAGCUAUGAUGGAAGGGGGUGGAGACCGUUUGUUUGUGACCAGAGAAGAAAUGUCAGUUGUGGAAGUGUGGGAAAGCUCCCGUUUAGCUGGUGCUAUCACUUUGUCAUAGCAUUCCCCCCAGCAUACAAGACUGACCACUCAGAAGGGUCUAUCGAAAGAAUUGAGUGUGUAUUUUCUAUUACAGAAUCAUGUUCAUACUCCUCUGCUCAGUUUAGGCAUAAAUUCAGUUCUGGGAACAUGGCUCUUCCUCUGUCAUCUCACUUCCAAGAUUUGUUGUGGGAACAUUUCAUUUCUUGCAUCUACUGAUACGUUCAAUGCCAGCAAAUGCCUUACACUUGAAGUAACCUUCUUUGGUGUAAGCAUAUUUUCCUGAUCCUUUAAACUUAGCACUAAGAGCUUAGCUUUCUACAAGAUAUAAUUGGAUAAGUCGUUAACAUCCUAAAUGCAGUGCAAUCUAGUUAUUCACCUUCAUGUGUGAUUAUACUGACAGAGUAUCAACAAUCUAAAUCUGUACCAAUUUUCAAGUUAUCCUUGUCUUUUAAAAUGAACUAAAAAGACUUAAUGUUGCCAAUAGCAAAUGAUCUCUUCACGCUUUUUUCUAGUAGAGGCUGCAGAUUAUGACUAAUAAGUACACCGUGCAUAAUAUAGCUCAGAAACUUGAUAGCGAAUUUCAAAUAAUACUGAUUUUCUGUACAAUAUAUGUUUUUGAAAAGUCAUACUAGUAUUUGUGUAGUUUUGAUGAUCUGUUCUGUAACAUUGCCCAAGUGAUUUACUCUUCCAAUGUAAUUAAUCUGCAAACUAAGUUUGGGACACCCUGAGCCUAUCUAAGGCUUAUGGUGCUACAUAACCGUUUUGGUCUACCAUACAAUGGUCAAGAGUCGCUCUACGAGUCGCGGCUAGUUUACUAGUCGCAACUUGGGUGUCGACUGGGAACUUCGACUUGACUGGUCAAACAACUCAAACAAUACCCACUGCCAAGGCUGUGCGUGAGGAUGUAUAAAGGCUUCUCGUGAAACCCUAGCUUCUCCCCACGGAUCCUCAAAGAUCCAGAAUGAGCCGCGCUGGCUCCUGGGUUGAACGGUUGAACCAAGCCUCGCUGGACUGCGGCUACUGCCGCCUGUGAGUAAUCUUCUCUUAUUCUCUCCUUCUCUUGGUCUGUUUUCCCCUCCUCUCCUUUCAAUCCUCUCCUUCCAGAACCCAGAUCUGUUGGCUUGAUUUUGUGUUUUUCUUACUUCCAUCUCAGCUAGCAGCUAGAAUCAUGUCGGAGCCAGAGAUAGCACGAUUAGUUACUGGCACUGCAACUGGAGCUGUGGUAGCUGGUGCUUGCCUACCAGUGGACUAAUCGAGCAGUAGUCGUGAUUAGUCUAUGAGUUGUUUCCCUGGGGAUCGACUCGACUCUUCAACUCUUAAUCCUUGUUACCACACAGUUGAAAAUUUUAUACGCAUGGCCUCCUGUAUCUAGCUGAUGAGCAACAUAGGCUGUUACUUACGCAAUCAAACUUGAGAACAUUGGUAGCAAAAAAGAAUUUCGUAGGGGUCGUUUGGAUUGGGGUUAUUUAUUUAGGAAGAUUCAGUGUUUAGUUCAAAUUUGAACUAAAAUGCCAAAGCCCACACAAAAAUACCCCUCAUUGGAACAGACUCUUAGGGAGCUCUCUUUUAAUGCUUUAUGUUUCCUACAUUAUAUAGCCAGUUGUAACAUCAGGGAGGUUUUCCUACACAACCAAUUACAAGUUACAGAUUAGGGACAUUAUAGAUCUGCUGGCAAUAUAGCAUUUAGGAACUGGGGAUAUUCUUUGGAACAAAAAUAAACAACUGCUUUCAGCUGGAUUGUAACUCUGGAAUCUUGUCAUGCUUAUCUUGUAGGAGACUAGGGUAAUGUCAUUUCAAAGAACGUUGUCUUCUUCAGGUCUUACCCCCACUAUUGUCAUGAAGAGAAACAUCAACUAAACAUCAUAUAGGUGUCUUCCUCUUUAAAGCUUAAAUUCAGCUUCAACCAACAAAUUAUCAGUCAGUACUUUUUAAGAAGAAUUUAGCGAUAUAAAGUCCAUGUCACAAAAAUCACAUGUUAACAAAAUAAUUCUUGGUCAAAGUCUUGUCUUAACUAAACCUAAUACACCAUUUAUUGAUAAAAGGAAGGAGUAGCUUAUUAGUUUUUCGUUUUGACAUUUUUUUAGUUCAGCAUCAGCCUAUGGUAACGCAGGUUAUUAACUAAUACUGAAGGGCCACCAGGUGAUAUAUCCCUUCUUAUCCACAUAAAAAAUUAGGCAAUGUAUGCUAUGUGAUCACCCUUUGACCUUUGUGCCGUACUCAGACUUGUUGCUUAAAAGCUUGACUUCUCUAACGUUCAUUUGCAACUUCUAAUUUAUCUGUGUACCCUGUGUACAUUUUACUAGCUUGAAAUUCCUCUUUAGUUUUGAAGUGUGGCCAUAAUAGUUUACGGAGCAGAAAUGCCGUGUUUUGAAUAGGCUUGUGUGGUGGGUGUUGGAUGUGUCAACAGUACUCCCUCCGUCCAACAAAAGAUGUCUUAACUUUAACUAAAUUUGAAUGCAUCUAUACACUAAAUCAUGUACAAAUACAUCCAAAUUUUGACAAACUUGAGACAUCUUUUGUUGGACGGAUGGAGUAUCAGAAAUUAACAUAUGGCAUGCAUUCAUCCAUUGUGGUAGGCCUUUUGAUUGUGCUUCAUCCGUAAUGUACUUAGAUCUUUAUUGUGCUGGGAGUCCAAGUUGGAGCUGAAUUGUUCUUCAUUUAAGUUCCGGUGACUUGUAAGAUCAAAACUGAAAUUCUUGGUUUACCUGUUGAGUUUCUUGACGCGGUCCUGGAAUCACAGUCCAGAAGUAUUGCUUUGAUUAAGAACUUCUCGUUUAGGAAUAGAAACAUUUUAAUGGUACUGCUAGUACAUAGUCCCACCAGGACACCGUGAUGACUCCGAAUCUUUAGAACUCUGGUCUGUCUGACCGUCUUUGUGGCACCAGCAGGGCAGCAGCAUCAUUCGUUUCUUGUGUAAGACGCAGGUUAGAGGUGUUAAGAUUGCUUUCUAACUUCUAGGAUUCCAUACACUCAAGUACCUUUGUACCUGGAAGCGGAUGAUUAUGCAACGGUGGACUUGUCUCUCCAUCCUGUUUUGGACGUGUUCGAGGCCUCAGCAAUACACAGAACGGCCAUAAUUAUGCCCAAGGACUAGGAGCGUGGUAAGAUUCACGUCGACAUCUAAUCUUAUCUUCCCGGCUUCGGCUCUCUCAGAACACGCUUAUUCUAUGCCAAAAUCCAGCUCAGUUCUGUCGUGCGCGCAGUUUAAUUGAUGAUGCAGAGCGUGUGGAGCCCCGGCCGGAGGAACAAAGGGAUGGAUCCGCACUGCACGGUCUCAGGCUCUGCCGCUGCACGUUUCGCCCCUUUGUUCGGGAGCGAGGCAGGAACAGGGCCGUAUCUUGUCGAUCCCGCGCUCUGUAGCCUGUACCGUCCGUUGCCUCGUCCAUUUCUUUGGGGUUUAGCUGCAAGCGCGCGGCAGUCGGCAGGGGCAGGCAGGACCGCGCGCCCGUCGCUGACGACGAAACCCGUUGGCCUUGGGCAGAGUGACCAGUUGGAUUCUUUUUCUAAUCCCGGCUCCUGUAGACGAGGCGCGAUGGAUCAUGUGUAAUAGAGAUGGUGUGAGGCGGCACCGGGACAGGACCUAUGAACAGUGAUAGCUCCCUCCGAAACUACACAUUACCAAUCCUGCACCGACGAGCCUGAUCUGUGAUCGGUAGCGCGUCGAUUCGGCCAUUCUUGAUCUGAUCUGCAUCUCUUCGAUGUAAUGACGCAUGGCCCUGGCCGAUGGAAAGACCCCGAGCGGCAAGCACACACUGUCCCUACCGCGUUCACCAUCAACACCAGAGAGUCCAGAGGCAGUAGUAGCUUCAUCACACCACUCUAGGCUUUGCACGAUGCAUAAUUGCAGAGCUUUACGCGAGGUGCAUCCGCAUCCUAGGUGACUGAUUCCAAUCGUGUACCGGGAGAGACACCCUGUUGCUGUCUCCGGAUCGCCUUUCUCCUUCCGUCCUUUUGCCAACACACACAGCCCCUAUUCACGUUCCAUUCUUAUCUUUAAGCAUCCCCACUUUUCCUCCCCUUUCCACCCCCGCCCGUCCUUGCUAAGUGCUAACCCACCGGAGUGUCACUUCCCUUCUCAAGCCCUCUCGUCUCGUCAGUUGCCUGCGCGAUCAUGAUCUGAGUGGUAGUCGACCCAGGAGCGUGAGCUGCCGGUGAUCGGGGAGAGACCGGCGAUGGCGGGCGGUGGCAGCCGCAGCUCCCUGCUGCGCGGCUUCCUGUCCCUCUUCUUCGUCAUGUUCCUCCACAUUGGCCACGCCGCUUGCUGCUUCUCGCCUGGCUCUGCCUCGCAGCAGCACGAGGAAGACGCCGCCGAUGCCGACGGGAAGGGCACCGGCGUUGGCAGUAGCAGCAGCAUCAUCAAGAGGAGGAAGAUAUCGCCGCUCGCGUUCUCCCCUGCCGCGUCAUCCUCUACCGUUGCCGUUGAAGAGAGGAGCAGAGCCAGGCGCAGCCGCCGGCACGUGUCGUCUCUCGCCAGCAACCUCCGCUGCUACCUCCACCGCAUCUUCUCCUCCGGACCCAACAAUAACGCUGGUCAGCCGGCGGGUGAGGAAGAAGAUGCGGCCACGCUCACGACCACCAUGUCAUCGCCGCUCCCUCAGCCGUCGUCCAUGACCAUGACGCCGCAGCGCCACCAAGCGGCAACGUCGUCGGUAGUGUUGUCCAUGCCGUCGUCGCCGUGUGGGCCGUCAUCGCCGUUCCUGUACUCCCAGUCCCCGAUGUCGCCGCGGUCCCUGAGCGUGACCCCUCCCGUGCCGUGCUCCCCGGCGAGGCGGCUGUCAAGAUCGUUCGCGGCCCGCGGCGACCUUUUCCCCUGCAAGUCGUGCGGCGAGGUGCUGAGCAAGCCGCAGCAGCUGGAGCUCCACCGGGCGACGAAGCACGGAUCCCUGUCGGAGCUCUCCAGCCUCGACUCCAGCACCAACAUCAUCCGCAUGAUCUUCCUCGCCGGCUGGAAGCAGAGCCCGCCGUCGCCCCCCGCCGUCGCCGUCCGGCGCGUCCUCAGGAUCCACCACAACCCGCGCGCGCUCGCCCGCUUCGAGGAGUACCGCGACCUCGUCCGCGCCCGCGCCGCCCGACGACGCUCCUCCGCAGUGCUAGGGGCGGAGGAGGAGGAGCGGUGUAUCGCGGACGGCAACGAGAGGCUGCGGUUCCACUGCGCCACGGCGCUCUGCUCGCAGCUGGGGUCCGGCGGCGGGGGCGGGGGCGUGUGCGGGAGCCCCUACUGCUGCGCGUGCACCAUCCUCCGGCACGGGUUCGGCGGGAAGCAGGCCGACGUGGACGGCAUCGCGACGUAUUCCUCCGGGUGGGCCGCGCACGCGUCGCUGCCGGACGAAGUGGAGCGCGAGUUCGCCUUCCUGCAGGUGCGCCGCGCCAUGCUCGUGUGCCGCGUCGUGGCCGGGCGUGUCGUCCGCGGUGCCGCCGCGGGCGAUGACGACAAGGUGGCCUACGACUCCAUGGUGCCGGUGGCGGCCGAUGGCGGGGGAAGACGGGGAGAGGGCGACGCGGAUCAGCUGCUGGUGUUCAACCCGCGGGCCGUGCUCCCGUGCUUCGUCAUCAUGUACAGCAGCUAGCCGUGCCCGUACGUACGUGGCGCCCGCAUGGCACAUGCAUGGUCUACUCUUGCUCUGCUACUGCUAGUGUAUAGCCGUUUCUCCCUUUUGGUUGCAUCUUGGCUCUUCGUUAGGUACACAGGUUGCUAUGGCCAUUCUCAGUCGGAGUCAUCUUCACCGGCCAGUCAGUCGGUUACUCGAUCACCGUGGCUACCGUGAUCCGUUGGGAGGGGCGGCGAUCGACCUCAGCUUUUUGGCCGGACUCGGCAGUGGCACCGCGCGUUGUGGUAGGUGCCUCAAAUCCUCAAUCGAGCACUUGUUGUUGGUGUGGUGAUCGAUGUUGCCACGAUGUCAAGUCGAUCGAGCCGCAUUAUACUACUACCAUGUAUACGCCGCGCCAUGGUGACAAAGUUUAUGUCGUGUGGUUACCGCUUUUGUGGCUGUUAUCGUUGUCGUUGGUCAUGUCUCAUGUCUCAACUGUCACUGAACUGAAUGGCGCAUGCAUGUUCUUCUUUGUCGUCUCUUCUCGUUAAAUAAUUCUUUGCUCAUCGCAUGGCUCCUCCCGCUACUAUACUCCGAGUGUUAAACCCUCACCGCUGAAGGGUGAGGGACUUUUUUUGUGUGUGGAGAAACUGACGCAUGGGUCAGUGGUGACACACUGGUGUAGGUAUCUCCACCGACAGGUCUUACCGUGAGAUCUAUCAGUGAUGACCGCCUGACCGGUUAAGGCCUCGUUUGGCAGCUCUGUAUUUUCUCAGUUUUUUUGUGAAACUACAGUUUUCAAAAUUACCAGAGUUUGAAUUACCUGUAACCUGUUUGGUUAUCUUUAAAAACUCCAGUAUUAAUGUCAUAGUAUCCUUAAAACUGCAGUAUUAUUUCUGUAUAAAAUAAAGACCCUCCGACCUCUUUAUUUUUUCCGGAAAAGCCGUCCCUCACCUCCUCCACUCCCACGUCGAUCGCAAGUCAUGCAACGACUCUGCUCUUCCUCGAGGCGCCGCCACCGCCUGCUAUCGCCUCCCUCGGUCGAGAUGGAGAAAGAGAAACAGGCGCAAGGAGAUAAAAAGGGUUAGCACAAUUCCUUUCGACCUUUCUCUCUGUAUAUCUCUCACCAUUGGAGGCGGGCUGCUGGGUUUGGAGGCGGAGGGAGGCGACGCGCGGGCUGGGGGCACCGGGCGGGAGGCGGCGCGCGGCUAGGGUCGGCGGGUUGGAUGCGGCGCGCGCUGGGGUUGACGGGCUGGAGGCGGCGCGCGGGCUGGGGGCGGCGGGCGCUGGGGUCGACGGGUUGGACCGGCGGCGUGCGGGCUGGGGGCGGCUGGCUGGAGCGGGCGGGCCUGCAGGCGGUGCGCGGUGGAUGGGAGAGACGCCAUUGAUAAGAAGGUGCUGUUGUUGGUAUACCAUCCAAAUGAGAUAAAAUUAGUGAAAAUAAAUUCAUGCUAUUUCCGGCAGAUGUGAUUCCUCUAUAAUGUGUGUUAUGUUUUCCCUUCAUAGAUGAUUGUUCAUUGAUGAGGAUGUAAAUCAUGCCAUCUUCGAAACUAGGAAGUUAAAAAGAUGCUAUAUGCAAAUUUUCUUCAUGAUGUUCAAAUUAUUGUAUCAUGUUCAUGUGAAUGCAAUUUAGACUUAUAUUUUUUUUCCGCGAUUGUAGAGAAGAAACCCAGAGCACAUUGGACAUGCAGUCAAUUAGAAUUUCUUGUUUAUAUGAUGAAAGAGUAUGCGGAUACUGCUAAAUAUUAUGGUCAGAAUGGAUUCACAAAAGAAGCGUGGAAUCACAUGUCAAGUCGCUUGAAUACACAGUUCCCUAAAGCUGAUUUUACCAUUGUUCAAAUAAAAGAUAGGGAGCAACGGUUAAAGAAAGAUUACAGUAUUGUCAAGUCUAUUUUGAACAAGAGUGGCUUCGGAUGGGAUCCCGUGCAAAAAGUGCCAGAAUCCAUUGAUGAAAAAUGGGAUGAGUUGAGUAAAGAACAAAGGAAGUGGAGGUACAAAGCAUUCCCUCACUACGAUGAUUUGCAUGGAAUUUAUGACGGUACAUUAUUUUCAUGAGUAAUGAAUUUAUCUUAUGAUCUCCUUGCCUGUGAUUUACAAUUUAUUCCUCUCUACUCAGGUAAAACAGCGGAGGGGAAGCGUUGUAAAAGGACAACUGAUAUGUUCGAAGAGAAGGACAGCUCGCCUGCUUUUGUACCUGAAGAAACCUGCACAGAAUCAGUUCUACGGGCUGCUGGACUUAAUUCACCUACUCCAACAAUACCUGGUCCAGACUUGGAUGGUCACCAAUAUGAUUGGGACAGAGGCUUAUAUGGUGAUGACGUUGAGUUUCCUUCUGCUGCUCGUUCUCAAGGUGUGGAAAAUCCUAGUAGUCAGUUUGAAGCUGAAUAGAACUACACAAUUCCUGACCAACCACCAAAGAGGUAUCAGCCUUCAAAAGGCAGUGAUGAACACAGGCCUAAGAAAAGCAAGGAAUCAGCGAUUGAUAAUCUAGUGGCUUUUAGAAAGGAAGAACUCCAGACGUAUGUGGAUGUGAAGUCUAAACAAAUUCAGAGCUACAGAGACGUCAAAAUGGCACAGAUGCAACAAAGUGAUCCUGACAAUGAUCCUUAUUGCAUUACCAAAUGCAUCGCUAAAGUGAAGACUGUAGAAAAACUUUCACCACGUGAUCGUCUAAAGAUCAUAGAGUCCUUGACAGAGCAUAGAACAGACCGUAAAGUCUUCAUGACAGUGGAUGAUGAAGUGUUUAUGGAGAUACUGAAGAAAGUGCUUGGUCGUGAGGAGAUCUGAAACAAUAUUUUGAUCAUGUUAUUUUUUGAUGGAUUAGAAAUCUGUUUACACUCCAGCAUAGUUUCUUUCUGCAUGUCGGUUUUCUAUCUUCAUCUUAACGUUCAAUAUUAUUAUGAGUUCAUAUAUGAACCAUAUAUUUGAGUUAGUAUUCCUGAUGUUAGUAUCAGAGUCUUCUUAAUAUUCACCUGAUUUUUGCAACCACUUUGGUGUCGUCCUUGGUUAAUUUUUUUUAAUAUCCACGCGUGCGGUUCCUCCGGCGACUGGCUCGCCGUCGUGCCUCCAACCACGUGCAGCUCCGCCUCCUCCUUCCUGCAAUCCGGACGAAUGGGAGUCUGCUGACUGGACAGGGGAGGUUAACAGCGUUGUGCACUUAUGUUAAAUGAUCUCAUCUGUAAUUUAAAAUCAAACUAACGGCUAGCUAAUCCUUCCAACGGCUUGCUGCCAUGCACCAACUGAACUACCUAAAACGGAGCUGCCAAACGCAUUCGUUGUUUUGCCAAAACUGAGAAAAACUGGGUAUCUUACAAACUACAGUAUUUUGUACUCAGGGAUAAUACUUUGGUUUUGAAAUAUCACAGUUUAAAAAAAACUUUGUGUCCAAACAUAGCCUAAGUCACCUCUGACUGGUUAUACCUCGCGGCAUGCUAGUGUGUGUGAGUGAAAAAUUGUCUCCGCUGACGAGUAAGGUGGUAACUCGUCAGUGGUGACAUUUACGACGGCAAUAUCCUCACGCGACAACGAUGGACCCCCAACUCAAAGCCUAGGCAAAGACUUGACGUUGUGCUGUUAGCCAGCAUCUACACCGAGACUGUAGCCAUGUAUGUGUACAAAAAGGAACGUCACAGAUAGAGCCCGGGCAGAUGACCAUGCUGGCCGGGCGAAGGUCAUCCCUAUGCGACAUUAUUAGCCAUGUAGGGAGUACUAUGUUACUCAUCUCAAUUUUUCAUUUUUUAUCGUAAAAGCAGAACAAUGUGUAAGCAUUCGUAUAUAUUUUUCAAAUACCAGAACAUUAUUUUUUGCACUAGUGAACAAAUGGUUACAAAAUAAUGAGCAUUUUUAUGGUGCAUAUAAACAUAUAUGGGGUCAUAUGACAUCAUUUACAAUUUUGGCACCAGUGAACGAAUUAUUGCGAAACGAAACGGUGGCCAUUUUGUAUUGAUGUACAAAAACGUUUUUUCUAACCAUGGAACAGGUCCAAUAAUUUUUUGUACUUGUAAACACAAGUUAUUACGAAGUGAUAGACUUCUUUUACAAUGCAGAAGUUUUUUUUACUACGACAAUGAAUUUUAUUUAGAGUGGCACCUGCGAACAAAUUAUGGUAACAUGGUGAACAAAUUAUAAAGUCACCUUCGGGGGUCCUCCUCAAUGGCUGCCCGGGAACCCCCUUCCGGCAUAAGCGGGGGUUGCGCCAAGGAGAUCCCCUCUCUCCCAUGCUCUUCAUUUUAGCGAUUGACCCCCUCCAGAUCAUCCUGCGCCGAGCGGAGGAGUGUGGUGUGCUCCAACAGGUCGGGGCCCGGCCGGUGCACUGCAGGAUCUCUCUGUACGCGGAUGACGCCAGCAUCUUCGCCAACCCUUUCAAGCAGGAGCUUGCGACCAUCUUUGCGAUUCUGGAGCUUUUCAAUAUCGCGUCCAAGAAGAACAGAACUGUUCACAAAGAGCUUCUCCAUGACAACUGGAUCUGUGCAACCAGUCGGCUUUCGACUGUUGCCCAGCAUCAGGAGUUUGUUGACCUGGCUUCGAUGCUCAGCGACAUCGCUCUGGAUCCUCAACGCACAGAUUCCAUCACUUGGAAUUGGACCUCUGACGGUAUCUACUCUUGUCGGUCCACUUACCUAGCCCAGUUCAUCGGCUCCCACUCGAAGUUCUCUGCAUCUAAGAUUUGGAGUGCUCAUGUUGAGCCUAAGUGUAAGAUCUUCUCUUGGCUCCUUCUCCAGAACCGUAUCCUCACUGCCGACAGGCUUGCUAUUCGUGGAUGGCCCCACGACCCGAUCUGCCAGCUUUGCUUAGGGGCGUCCGAAAACUCUACCCACCUUUGCAAGGACUGCCAAUUCACAAGGAGUGUUUGGCGUCUGGUGGCCGAUUGGACUGGGGAGUCCGCGGCCCUGGCCAACGAGUUCGGUUCCAUCGAUGGUUGGUGGGAGGCCUCGCUCCAGCAUGCGGGCAAGGUUCCGAGGAAAAGACGAAGCGGGCAUCUCAUCUACGUCUGGUGGAAUGUUUGGAAGGAACAGAAUCGACAUAUUUUCAACCAUACGAGCCUUACCUACGUUGAGAUCGCCCAUCUCGCGGUUGAAGAGAUUAACCAGCGGAACUUGGCCUUCGGUUUGCCUGCCGCUGGCUUUGCAAUUGAACCGGAUUAGAGUUUGUUCUUUUGGUUUGUGGGUUUGGCAUGUUCCCCUUUAAAAAUAUUGUCCCCUUUUGAUUAUUCAUCUCUUUUUUCUUAAUGAAAAGGCAGCACCGUUCCUCAAAAAUAAUAAUUACUAGCAGGUGUGCCCGCGCGUUGCUACGGAUCAACAAAAUCACAAACUAUUUAUUUUUAAGUGUAGGCAACUCAUGGUGCCGUCGAGGUCGGCAUGCGGGUGUGGUGGCGUCGGUUGUAAGACGGAGUAGGAGAAAUCGUGAAAAAAACUUGAGGAAAAAAAAAUAACGAGCAGUGGCAUAUUGGUUGUAAUUUUAACUGGAAAAAAAAUAACGAGCAGUGACAUAGUGGUUGUAAUUUUAACAAAGUUAACCUACGACGACCGUGACCGUACCAUCACCACCAACUCCAAUUUAAUAGUAGUAUUAAUUAAUAGAUAGUAAUAGAUAAAGUCAUGUGGACAUUAUUUUAUUGGUCGGCCCAUUAAGGGAGGGGUGCUUAUGCAGGCAUAUCCGACACAUGGGCUGGUAACACAUCCCAAACCAGGACGUGGGCUCAGUGGGGGGUACAUGUAACUACGGACCGUUAAACAUGUUUCUUCGCUCAGUUUCGGCGUUAACGUAGCAUUUCUAAGUUUUUGUUUUAGGGAUCUUAUCAUUUCUAAAGGUAAGGCCUUUGGAACAUAAUUUUUCUUCCAUUUCUGCCAUGCCCGCACGUAUUGUUUCUGGGUAGUUGCCUAGUUGGGAUCGACCUUCAUGUUUCGUUGCCACCCGGACCCGGCGUCUCCAUCUCCUCCAGUGAGAUGGGGUAACAGAUGGCACACAGACGUGAACAACUGAACCACACCUCCACACGUCCACGGCAAAAGGGUAAAAAUGCUGCCUGCCGCCUUGUGGAAGUGUCCUGCAUGGACUGAACUUGAUCAACAAGCCGCACAUGAUACUUUUAGCCCUGACUAGAUUAAGUUUUUUUAGAUGGACUAGAUUUAGUGUUAGUUUAUUGAAGGUGAUCAGGUGCUGAUUAAUUAUAUUGCUCAUUAGCUGAGACCGGUAGGUAGUUCAGUUCAGACUUCAGAGAUCAUCCGGGUGGCUUUGCGUGGACGAGUCGGUACCGUUCUCAGACCGUUGUUGCCCGGCUGCGUUGACGGGCUCUGCCACUUUAGGAUCCAAACAGAUCCUGCAUAUUCGUUUUUAAGCUAAUAUUUAAAUCGUCAUUAUUAAAUACUCCGUUUUUUUAGAUGAUCGACGGAGGGAGUAUUAAACUACUAAUAAGGUUUUUAAUAACCUAGUAGUGAAACGUAAGCUGGAUCCUGAUUGCAUUGCUAGCUGCCUGUGACCCCGACCGGUCAAACAAGAGCACACCUUGGCAAAGUACAGAUGCUUGUAUGUAACCGUACGUACAGGUGCAAGAAAGAUUUAUCACACUUUGUCUAGCUAUGAGUAUGGAUCACACAUGCAUGGCAUCAUGGGGGUGUUGGUUUUGUCCACUAAAUCACAGCAACACGACUCGGACAUUUGAACCUAUGUUAACAGGAAAAAACUGCACCUUCUUACCAAAACUUUGGUGCUCGAUUCUUCCGUCCCCAAAGUUGGAAAUACGGGGGACGCCAAACAUCUGGGGGGAUCCCGAACCCAACUCUUCGUCGCCUUCCAACUCAGCUCCGUUCCCAAAGUGCGUUCCAAUCAAUCGCAUGACAAUAGAUAGAGGCAAUUAAUUAACUAGUACUCGUAGUAGUAACAGUUUUACCCUGCUGCCGUCAAAGAAAAAGAAAACAAACGAACAGGUUCAGCAGCACGUUCCUCGUCGCUGCUCCCGGCCUGCUCCGCUCGUGCAAUUCCUUUCCUCGUCGACCGCCUUCAUGUUUACCUCGUGGCAAAAACAGAAACAGAAGCAGAGACAGCGACGCCGGUUUCUGCAAAAAUGCGACUCACCCACCGCGCUCGCUCGUGCCGUGAAGCCACGAGCACCGCAGCGCUCCGCUCGUGUCCAUCCACGCAGCUUCCUCCGUCCGGCCACGCGAAAACAAAAGAAAAGCAAACGACCCCGUGCACCUUGAAACGUUGCGCACGAAACCCCAAGUCUUGUCGACAAGAUUCCGACGUGGCCACUCGGGUCCACGGGGCUGCUCGCCUGCUCCCCUUGCAUGUGCCCCGUCGUCGCCGUGCGCGCUCCGGCGGCCCCGGCGCUGCUCGGGCGCUUGACGUUUGAAUAGACUUGGUUGAUCCGGAAUUGGUUGGUGAGGCAACGCAUCGCCAACAAGGGGAACGAGUCCAUUUGUCCUUUUUAUUUCCCCCUCUUUUUUGUAUCGAGAGGAGAGGCUCCAUGCUUCGGCUGGUUUAUGGUGCGCAACUGCGCAUAUCGGCAAUUCGGCAUAUGAUCCUGUCGCACCGAUCACAUGAAUUCCACGCGUCGGGAAAUAGAGGGAAUGAUUAAUACUACGAGUAAUAAAUAAAAACUCGUACCGUAAUUGUUGAAGAAUGAAACGUGCAAAGAGUGUCUAAAUUAUUUGAUCUGAGCCUCUGAAGCACCGUGCAAACAGAGCCUCCGCACACUGGUCCAGGGUGCAUCAGUUGUCUACGAAAAACAUGAAAUGUCAAUAAUUUGGAUUUUACUCAACUAUCCGGGUUCGAAAAUUAAAGAUCUUUGAAAAAAGUGCAAGUUUUGUGACAUUUUAGUCCAAAAUAAUGAUAGGUACGUGAAUCGGUUAUUUUAAUGACAACAGUGAUACGAGUAAUUUUGUGAUGUAAUCCAUCUGAUACUAAAUUUUUAAUUCAAAUUUGUUCAAAUAAUAAAUUUUUAAUUCAAAUUUAUUCAAAUAUGAAUAUACCUAUCCUUAAAAAACGUUUAAAUACAUGUAAUAUUUCGACAACAAUUGGAUGAAAAGUAUAUCUGCAAUUCUCGUAGCUGGUGUUCGUCGGAUUUGGAAAGCAUUUAUUACCUUCCCGUAGUUGUCGAUAAGUACCAAAGUAAUAGUUUCCCGAUCUAAGUGACCAAUAUUUUGACAUAUCCGGUGGCUUGGUGGGGUUAUUUUAGCACCAGUAAAUAGAUCCUGUCGUCGUCGUCCUCUCCCCGCAUCGCGAAGAGCCGAAGAGUCAAAACCCAGCUCGCGAGCCGCCGGCCGGAGCUGCCAAAUUGCUGCCUCUUAUAUAUACUCCACCUCCCAAUCUCUUCCUCCUAGCCCGAGAGCAGAGAUAUUGCACUAUCGACAGGGGAUUGGAAGGCUGCCUGCCGUCGCAACCGCAAUGGAAUCCCUAGCCGCCACCGCGUUCUCGCCCUCGCGCCUCGCCGCCCACCCCGCCCCGGCGGCGGCGCCGGCGCCGGUCCCGUUCAGAGCAAGAGCUGGAGGGAGGAGGAGGAGCAGGAGAGGGAGCAGCGGCGUUAGGUGCUGCGCUGCGAGCGCGAGCGUGAGCCCGUUGAUUAAUGGGAGCGCCGCGGCGAAGGCGGAGGAGGAGGACAGGAGGCGGUUCUUCGAGUCGGCGGCGCGGGGGAGCGGGCAGGGCAACCUUGUUCCCAUGUGGGAGUGCAUCGUGUCGGACCACCUCACCCCCGUCCUCGCCUACCGCUGCCUCGUCCCCGAGGACGACAUGGACGCCCCCAGCUUCCUCUUCGAGUCUGUCGAGCAGGGGCUCGAAGGCACCACCAACGUCGUACGUCCCCCCUCUCUCCCGUUCUCUCUCUCGCUCCAUUUUCUACUCUUAUCCUUCAAUAACUUUGUUGAACCGGAAUGGAUUGAAGGGUCGUUACAGCAUCCUGGGAGCCCACCCGGCGUUGGAGAUCGUAGCCAAGGAGAACAAGGUCACCAUCAUGGACCACGAGAAGGGCGUGGUGACGGAGCAGGUCGUGGACGAUCCUAUGCAGGUCCCCAGGAGCAUAAUGGAGGGAUGGCACCCGCAGCAGAUCGACCAGCUCCCUGAGGCCUUCAGUGGUGAGCGCCCAAAAUCAACAUGGAAAGAACAUAGGAGAAAAUACGGUGUGGCUGAUAGUAAAAUGAGCAUUUUGUUCUCUCGUUUGUGACAGGUGGAUGGGUUGGAUUCUUUUCCUAUGAUACAGUCCGCUAUGUCGAAAAGAAAAAGAUACCCUUCUCUGGUGCCCCCGAGGAUGACAGGAACCUUCCGGAUGUUCACUUGGGGCUUUACGAUGAUGUUCUCGUAUUUGACCAUGUCGAGAAGGUGCUUAAUUUUUCAAUAUCCAUUUUCUGCUUGUCAUGCUGAAAGAAGUUCUUAUAUUGCUGUUGUCAAGGAGGGAUACUAUUCUACAACCAAACUUCUUUCAUAUUAUUUGGCAUUUCGUUCAUCAUUAUCAGUGUAUGCAAUUAUUCAUCUUCUUUCAAGGAACAAAAUAGAUCGUAGUGCAUAGUACUCCAUUGAUCAUACUAAAGCUGAACUAAAUCGCCAAAACCUGCCAUCUGUCAUUGGUACAUUGCUGCAUCAAGAUUACAUUGAUCAAACUCAAACCUGCCGUUCCAUGUUCAGUAUGUUGCAACUUAUGAGUCAAAAUAGCAUGUACUUGUUGUUCCUCAUUUUAACUAGUCGAGAUUUUUUGUUUUCUUUUUUACUGUUGGUUCUUUUGGCCGUAAGAACCGCACCAUCUUGGUGCUUUCUUCUAAUGCAAAAUGACACACAUUUAGGUGCGCGUCCGAGAAAAAAAACAGUGAAAAAUUUUGUAUUCAUUUUAAAUUCUGUGGCUCUGGUUGUUGCAGAAAGUAUAUGUGAUCCAUUGGGUUAGUCUGGACCGGCAUGCAUCCACCGAGGACGCAUACCAAGAUGGCAAGUCCCGGCUGAAGCAGUUGCUUUCUAAAGUUCACAAUGCAAAUGUGUAAGAUAUGCUGUGCCAUGUCCUUAGAUCUACUGUUUGCUAAAUUUUGUUUGGUGCUCACAACCUCUAGAUCACUUUUAUUUCCACUCCACUACUCCAGCCCCAAACUCUCUCCAGGAUUUGUGAAGCUACAUACUCGGCAGUUUGGUACACCCCUGAACAAAUCGACCAUGACGAGUGAUGAGUACAAGAAUGCUGUUAUCCAGGCCAAGGAGCAUAUUCUGGCCGGCAAUAUUUUCCAGAUUGUUUUAAGCCAGCGUUUUGAGAGGCGGACAUAUGCCACACCAUUUGAGGUUUAUCGAGCUUUACGAAUUGUGAACCCAAGCCCAUACAUGGCGUAUGUACAGGUACAGUUACAUGGUCUUUCGGGCAUCUUUUUUAAAUGUGAUUACAAAAUAACAUUGUGCACUAGUGAUGGGUAUUGUGCACUGAUUUGUUUUUAUAAAAAUUCUAAGCAAUGUCUUGUCAUCUUUAGGCAAGAGGCUGUAUCCUGGUAGCAUCCAGUCCUGAAAUUCUUACAAAAGUCCAGAAGGUAUGUGAACCCAUUUAUUUCUAUUAAUCAGAGUGCCUCAUUGUCCUUUCACUAAUUAUUACACCUUGAAAAACAUAGGGAAAGGUUAUUAACCGACCACUUGCUGGGACUACCCGAAGGGGCAAGACAGAGAGCGAAGAUAAAUUGCAAGAGGAACAGCUAUUAAGUGAUCAGAAACAAUGUGCUGAACACAUUAUGCUUGUAGACUUGGGAAGGAAUGAUGUUGGCAAGGUCCGUAUUCCUUUUUGCUUAAUCUGCAUUCUUUUUACCGAGUCAUGACAGAAUAAAUUUGACAGCUUUGUUUGGCUGCAAUUACAGCCAUCAACUUAGAAAAGUUCAUGUGUUAGCCCUGCUGCAGUGUUGCAAAUUAUCUUAUUACUACAUGUACAUGACAGGUCUCCAAAUCUGGAUCUGUGAAGGUGGAGAAGUUGAUGAACAUUGAGCGGUACUCCCAUGUUAUGCACAUCAGCUCUACGGUCCGUCUCUUCUCAUGUUGUGUGAACUAUGGUUCUUAUGGCACAUCAAUUUUGCCAGUUUGUAGUUAGUCCCUCUAGCUAUUCUUGGUGAUCACAUUCUAUGAACUUACAUUGGGGAUGUUUGUUGUGUUUCUGUUCUUUCCUUCAGUAUGAGAGUUAAGUUGUUAGUUCAGACUAUCAGCUUAUUUUGCCAUGGAACAAUCGUGUUUAGUUGAAACCUAUUACAGUAAUCUAGAAAAUUUACUUGUUUCUUGCUGUGGAAUGCUUUUGACGUAAAUGUGCAUGGUGAGAGAUUAUAGCUCUCUGCAGUCAUGUUGAACGCCAAUUUAAUUGCUCCUUGAAUGCUUCGCAGGUUAGUGGACAGUUAGAUGAUCAACUCCAAAGCUGGGAUGCACUGCGAGCAGCAUUGCCUGUUGGAACAGUCAGUGGAGCACCAAAGGUUAAAUCUUGCUUGCAAUCUCCUUAUCUUGAUCUACUGUCCAUCCAAUUUGGUUGACAAUUUUAUGACCCCUUUGAGGUCUGAAGAUUUUUGUAGUUGAUCUAAAUGUAGAUCAUUUUACCUCUUGCCAGCAAAUAUUGCUACUCCCUCUGAUCCAUAUUAAUUGUCGAAAUAUUACAUGUAUCUAGAUGUUUUUUAGGCAUAGAUACAUCCAUAUUUGGGCAAAUUUGAGACAAUUAAUAUGGAUCGGAGGGAGUAGUUUGUAUCUUUAUAUAUUAGCCAACAUGGCCGUUCUGGACUCCCGACACACACUUUAAUUCCAUAUAUUUAUGUUGAUUAUAUCUUUGUUUUUGGCUCUCUUCUGUAAACUCCUAUUAAAUUGUUUAGAUCCUUUCCACAUACCAUAGUCAGCUUUAGCUACUGAGCUCUCUACUGUAAACUCCUAUUAAAUUGCUUAGUUCCUUUCCACAUACCAUAGUCAGCUUUUGCUACUGAGCUCUUUUUAGCUAUUAUUGGUUUAUCCCAUCUUCACUGUUUUUAUUCGGCUUAAUGAUUAAUCUUAUACCAACAUGCCCCUUCAUCUUCUGAAAUAAACCGCUUCUUACUGAAAUUUUGUUUGACAUAACCAGGUGAAAGCCAUGGAGCUGAUCGAUCAGUUGGAAGUCACAAGGCGAGGACCAUACAGUGGUGGCUUAGGAGGGAUAUCAUUUGAUGGCGACAUGCAAAUCGCUCUUGCUCUCCGCACCAUUGUAUUCUCAACAGCUCCAAGCCACAACACUAUGUUCUCAUACAAAAAUUCAGAUAGGCGCCGAGAGUGGGUCGCCCACCUUCAGGCUGGUGCCGGCAUUGUUGCUGAUAGUAUCCCAGAUGAUGAGCAAAAAGAAUGCGAGAAUAAGGCGGCUGCUCUAGCUCGGGCUAUUGAUCUUGCUGAGUCAGCUUUUGUAGACAAAGAAUAGAGUGUCAAUGAAGCUAUUUUGGUUAGUUAUUGUUCAUGGUUCUUCACCCUGUUCCUGUUGGGAAGAAAGAUGUCAUCAGUUGGUGUAGAAAAGCAAUAAGCUUUUGUUGUCCAGUGAAUUGAAUAAAUCUGGAACUGUAAUAAGAUGUUUUUUGCUUAUGAGAAAUGUAGAUGUUUUUUGUACGGGAUUUUUUACAUUCAUCAUUAGUCUCGGAGCUAAUUCAGCUUCUACCAUUACUUUUUGGCCAAUUAUAAGAAUGGCAUUGUUCCUUUAGUUUACUUUACACAUUUCAUGCACCAUUACUGCUUUGAUCAGUGACUGUUGAGUGACUGAGGUCACAUGAAAUUAUUAAAAGAAGGAAGUUAAUGUGGAAUAUGAAAUCACUAGUUUAACAAAUUCUGUAAGGAUAGCACAGCUUGCAAGGUGAAAGCCUGAGCUCCAAAACACAUUUCAGAUUAUAAACUUUCCUUUUUGCGGGAAAAGAUUUAGAGCAUUUGAUGGUUUGAAAAAAUGUUUAUAGCAUUUGAUGGUUCGAAAAAAGAUUUGUAUGGCAUUUGAUGGUUUGGAAAAAACUUUAUGGCAUUUUUCUCUCUAGGAUUUGCAGCAUGCAGUCGCCCAGUUAGCUCUGUUUGGAACGCGAUAGUUUUUUCCUGAACCGUGGAGCUGGUGUUAAAUCCUGUGAAAGUCUUUGGUUUCAAGUGAGGCUCUCAAGGUUACGUUCAGUAGCUUGUCAAAAAAAGGCUGCGUUCAGUAGAUAUUCUGGGGAAUAAUCUAUAGCUCUGUAAUUGAAAAUUUCAGACACAAGCUUUACAGAGUUCCACAUUACAAGUCCGGACAGUUGUUUAUGAUAAACAUGGCAGUAUCCCACUAUGAAAAAGAAUUCCAGCGUCCUAGUAUCCCUCUGUGAGAAAAAAUAAAAUAAAAUGCAGCUUAUAACCUAUUGCCGGAAACCAACUAUUCAUGUCCCAACCAUAAUUUCUACACCGUAUGUUCAGUCAUCAUGAAUUUCACCACAUCCUCCUUGUACUGUGAAGUUCCGAGGAUACUGUUCUUGCAGUGCAUCCCAAAACCAGGCAUUAAAGAAUAACAUGUGGUAACCUUUGACAAAAUUGAACUACACAUUCUGCACAACAGCAAUUUACAGCUACUCUCCUCACAUCCUGUGAAAUUCCUGAAUCAGGAUAAAUAUGGGUCAGGGCUUGAAGUAUAUUAUGUUCAAUUUUCAUUUCAAGCAAAACCGUAUCAGCACUCGGCACAGCAAAACCUCGUGGCAGUGUGUGCGUCUUCUGAAGGUGGUAAACAAGCUUGUAAGCUCGUCCACCUUAUCAUCUAGGCAACACCUCGGUCGUGCUAAACUGACAGCUGUUCAUGUCUCCGGUCUGUGUAGUGCAGGAUCCAGCCGGGUUGCCUCUGGUGCUUUGACUUGAGGACGUGUCCUGUGUCAAACCCCCCAAACUACCCAUUUGACGACGGGGUUCUUUCAGCACACCCGGUGGGACUGCAUUUUGCAGAUCGAUUUCUGUUUGGUUAGAUAGCAUGUGCACCACCUGCUUCAUGGAUGGCCUCUGCUGCGCUGUUGCUUGGGUACAUAGGAGUGCCACCUUGAUGAAACGAAGCACUUGCUCCUCUGGGUAUUCUUCCAGGUCUGGAUCAACAAUCUCCAAAAGCCUUUCUCCUUCUCGCAGCUUCCACGUCUGCAGUUCAGUACAUGUUAAAUAUGCAAAAAUAAUGUAGACAGACAACAAUUUCUCCAUUUAGGAACUAAAAAAUUGAUGUCAAUCAGUCAAUAGGCAAAAGAAAGGGGAAAUGAGUUACCCAUUCCACAAGUACAUGCAUAUCAGGCCCCCAAUUCGAUUUACUGCUGCUUUGACCACUUAUCACUUCAAGAACAAGCACCCCAAAACUAUAUAUAUCUGCUUUCUUGGUCAACUGUCCCAACAAGGCAUACUCUGGUGCUAAGUAACCCCUGGAGGAGAAAUCAUAUUUCGAAAGGUCAAAACAAGUUUGUUGUUAAAGACAAAGCAGACUACAAUCAUGGUCUCGAAAGUGAGACAAUAAUCUCCUAAUCGAUUACUUGGCUUAGCUGGUGGAAAAAGUAAUGAAGGCAACUGACCAAAACAUGUUUGCUUUCAUCGCAAAAUAGUUAGUAAAGUGCAAGUGUGCAAUUAUUUUUUUCUGAAUAAAAUCUAUACAAAUACACAUGACUCCAUUGUAAAAGUAAGUAAAUACAGAAACAGAUUUAGAGAGGUACUCACAUUGUUCCUGCAACACGUGUGCUAAUGUGAGUGAUUGCAUCAGGGAAAAGCUUUGCCAGUCCAAAAUCUCCAAUUUUAGGGAGUAGUUUCUUAUCAAGUAAAAUGUUGCUAGCCUUGAUAUCACGGUGGACAAUGCGUGGUUGUGCUUCCUCGUGAAGGAAUGCAAGACCAGAAGCAGUUCCAAUACAGAUCGCAGCUCUUUUUUGCCAGUUCAAUGGGAUACAUCUAUUCUUUGGUCCUGAUCACAAGUUAAUACACACAGGUUUAUGAUAGUAAAUACACUGGUCAGAAUUCAUGCAGGUAAAUCCAGUACUGAACCUACCAAGCAAAGCAUUUGACAAACUGUUGUUCUCCGCAUAUUCAUACACCAAUAAUCUGUUAUUCCCUUCGACACAGCAACCAAUCAGCUUUACAAGGUUGGGGUGCCUGACAUUUGAUAUGACAUCGAUUUCUGUCAAGAAUUCGCUAGUUCCUUGCUUUGAUUCAGCUGAUAGCAUUUUAAUUGCAACUUGACUGCCGUCUUUGAGGUUUCCCUAAGUGAAGGAGAACAAUUGUCACUCAUUCCACAUUUGCGGUUUGGUCAACCAUAAUUCUUUCAAAAGAAAAGCUAUGCAGUAAAAGCAACAAGCACAGCAGACACAAAGCAAGAAGGGAACAAUAUGAUGCAUGAAACAAAUCCAAUGCCUCACCUUAUAAACUGGUCCGAAACCCCCACGGCCAAUGCAGUUCAUCAUGUUAAAAUUCCGUGUGGCAGACUUCAAGUCUUUUAGGGAAAAUACUUGUACAUUUCUUCCGGAUCUUGAUAAUAAACGGCCUGGACUUUUUUUAGAGAGAUCAUCAUUGGUAGUUAACAAGAAUAAGUAUGAAUACAAAUGCACUGAAAUAUGAUAGUACACAUCAGGGUUGACGAUUUGAGGGCACCAUGAUUAUGACAAAGAUCCCAGCUACAUGAUUCAACAUAACAAGCCCCUCUGUAUAUUAAUUGAAGAAAUAGACAGAAAAAGAAUUAUUUGCUAUAACAUGAUAUUGCCAAUGCUUUGGUCAUGGUUUAGUUUCGGACUGGAUCGCACGAUCCUAAUCUAGGAAGUGGUUCAGUCAAACCUGAGUUGCAGAUAACACAGCUAACAAGAAAGAAAUGCAAACAACCACAAAGAGGUGGUUUUGUCCGGUGUAUUAUUUUAGGUGAAUUUACAAAGUUAUGAUUAUACCUAUAAAGCAUAUACUGUGCUGCCAAUAACACUAUUAUACGUAUAAAAAAGCCAACAUAUCUAGAUGUUUUACCUAUUACAAAAAGAUAAAAGGUUCACCAGUUUGCUGUUGGAACUCCUAGUGUUUUGUAGUUUCUAUUAAUGAAAGUCCCGGUGCUUCAGCCUCCUUGUUUAAAAAAUGUUGCCAGAAUCAAUUUUAUGAACACAUACUGAGAACCGAAUGAUGCUCAAUAGGCUAGCAGUGAGCGACUGAGCGUCCGCAUGCUCGCCCUCCCGCGUUAGAGACCCAGCCAACGCAGGGUUUUGCUUCUUCUUAUACAAAAAUGCCCUGGGUGCUAGUGCCCAUAGGUAGAGUUCAAACUUUAUGAAGGCACUAGGAAAGGCACCCUAAAUUUCUAAUCAUUGAAUCCCUCUGGAGCACUUGGAUAAUUGACAAAUCUCGUAAGGAGACUCCAAAGAAUGGUUCGGAACAACAUGCCUAAACAGGGCAGCCUGCCAGCAGGAGCAACAAUUGAUCAUUAGCACACGAAUGGAACCAAAUGAAACGUACCAGAACGAGGAGACGCCGCGGCGGCUUGACCAGUUUGAUCUCUCCCCGACUUGGAGCCGCCCCAUAUGCAGCUGACGGAGCCCCCCAUGCGCCAAAUCCCGCGGCCCCCGUGACGGUGAAACCUUUACGCCAAGCCAGUUCCAACCUGCGCCCAGAACUGUCGAGGACACGAAAUUAACCAUCUCACCAACCAACCACACAAAUUUACUCCAAUCGCAACAGUCUACGAAGGGGAACAAACAGGGGAGCUAGAGAAACCUAGAACCUCGAGAACAUAUGGUGAUUACAUAGCUUAGAAAUUUCAACGGCGAUACAAAUCAGUAAUCACCAGCCGGAUCAGCGACCCAUGGACGAGGAGCAAUAACGGCAGGAGAGGAGAGCUCAAAGGGGUAGUAGAACUCACCAACCGAAUAGCUCAAAGGGAUAGCUGAUGAUGGGAUGGUAGCUGCAGCGGAAGGAAGCUCCCCCGAGGGCGAGCCGAAUGCUUCGUGCUGGUGCUGGCGCCGUCGCCGCACCGACGCCGUGUGGACGAGCCGAGGAGGGAGGAAGAGGAGGAGGAAGGGAACGGGGGCAGUUUUACCCGGUCAAUUUCUCGACUUCUCGUGCCUCGCGUUUGUUCUGUUCUGGGGCAAACGCCGAGAGCGGUCAGGUCACCCGCCCCCCAGCGAGUCCACGUUUCUGGUCUUCCCCUCCUCUGCCUCUCUGCCCCAACCCAAACCAACCCCAGAACUAGAAGCGGGCGGCGGCAUAGGUGAAUUUGCUAAUUCCGAAGCGGGGGCGGCGGGGCUGCGUUUGCAGUCCGAUACACGGUGUGGGUGACGCUGACCGUUGGGGAUGAAGAACCAAGACAUAGGUCGGGUUUCGUCCGACGUCGGCCUAAAAAAAAACGGAGUCCGAUGUCUUCCGUCCUCCGUGCAAAACAGAUCGGUCAGAAUCACGGUGUUCACGGAUGUUUUCUUUGCUUCACCGUAGUCAAAACCAUGAGGUGCAACACCGUUCAACGAGUCGUACAAAGGUAUAUAUUCUCCACCUCUCGCCAUCCAUGUCGCAUUCGUUGGUUGACGUCAAACUUUUUAUAUUUGCAGCCUUGCUUUUAACGAAAUCAGCACAUGUUAUAUUGUUUCUAAAAUAUUUGUAGUUUAAUGAAAUCAGCACAUGUUAUAUUGUUUCUGAAAUAUUUGUAGAACCUGGAAGUAUUAAAUAAACUGGAUUUGGACUGAAUGUCAGUCAAGUUCCAAAAAUAUUUCGGUCAGGUUUUAAGAAUGUUUUAGGUACGUUUGCAUUCCUGUCCCACCUAAUCUACCUAGGCUAGAUUUGUCCAUCAUAUGUGCUAUAGCUGGAGUAUAUGACAUGUCUUUCUUUUCUUUCAGCUAACCAUGUGUUCACAAAAUUAAACAAUUAAGUGCCACGAGAGAAGAAGCGUCGAUUGAAGUAUCCACAUUUAUCGCUGAGCUCAAGUGGUAGCUUUAGUCGCAAGCAUGAACCUUUGUUAUUUGGUUCUUUAAGAGCUUGUAGGCCCCUAGCAAUUGAAGCCCAACAUAAGACAAAACUUGUGUAGUUUUGUUAGACCAACCCAUUUUUCUUCUUGGUGGGUAAAAAGUUGGCCCAUACCCUCAAAUUUGGUCGUUGUUUUACAAAAAAAAAAUCCUCAUACCCUUGCACACACUUGUUCCUUCCCCUUUUAGGAGCGUGGUGCCUCCCCACAACGCACUGGCGAGGGUUCACUCUAUCGCCACGAUUAAAACUACAUUGGGGAGUUAUUGGUGUUUUUGUUCCAUGGAUCAUAAGCUCUAGAUCCAAUAGGUUAUCAUCGCUGCUUCAUCCUGUCAUAACAGUAAUAUAAUGGUGGCAAGUGUGAUGACAAGUUUAAUUUGGUCUGGGUUCUCCCUUGUCAAUAUUUUGUGCUCCUAAUCUUCUUCUUUCCUACAACAUGGCAAUGAAGCGGCGGUUCGAUAGCCUAUUUUGAAGGAUGGGGUGUCCCUAAGCAUACCGUGUUCAACAAUCUUAACUUUUUACUCACUGGGGUCAUCAAUGUGGCUUUUCAAAACAUAUGAUAUUAGUACAACUUGUAUAGGUUUGGUCUUUUAUGUUUCUUGACCAAAGGCCUCAAGAAAAAUUGAGAUGCAAAAGAUGACAAUAGAGACUAAGAUUUCGAAAGAACUUUGAUAGAACUUUUUUUUUGUAUCCGAGAUCUUUGUUGUUCAUGUAUGUUUUGGUCUACAUUAUUACUCGAAAACGAGGGGAGGCACCCAGUAGUACAAAUUAGUGGCAAAGGGAGAGGAAAUAGGUGUGCAGACCCAACAUGCUAGGUCCGUCGCUCAUAGCGCAGCGGUUACACCAAAUAGCAAGAUUCUCAGCACUACGACGAACGAUAUCUUCGACACAGCAGAGGCGAUUGUUGAAGACGCAGUCAUUUCGCGCCUUCACAAGCUCCAAGAGUAACGACACCAUCUUGCCAAGUAAGAGCAUUCAUAGGGAGGGGGGGGGGGGAUGAGCCCCACAAGGACCCAACAGAGUCAUCAUGAGGGACACCAAGGAGCCACCGGAGGUCGGAGGAGAAGUCACAGUCCGCGAAGAGGUGGUCACUGGUUUCACGCAGGGCGCAACGUUCGCAAAGCUCAGAGGGGCAGCAGAUCUUGUACAAGAGGUUGGCACGGGUGUUUAGACUGUUGGAGCAGACAAGGAGCACAAAGAUCUUGAGCUUGGUGGGCAGUCUCGAAUUCCAGAUAGCGAACGGCAUGAGCGUCCACGCAGCCAUCAGGAGCAACCAUACGGUAGGCGUCACGCGGGGAUAAAACCUUCUCGGACGCCACCAAGCUAAUAAAAUCGGAUCAAAAUAACAAGCAAAUUAGUUACAAACCAAUGAAGCAACAACUCGUAGACUGUGUUGAAAGGGCUAUGUCCCUAACCACAAUGCGUUCAACGAUCUUAGUUUUUUAAUCAUUGGGGUCAUCAAUGUGGUUUUUCAAAGCAUAUGAUAUUAACCAAACUUGUAUAUAUUUGGUCUUUGCUAUUUCAUCAUCAAAGACUUAGGAAAAAUUGAGAUGCAAAAGAUGACGCUAGAGACAAUAAUUUCGAAUUUUUUUUGAUAACUUUUGGUUGUAUCAGAGAUUUUUUUUUGUUCAUCUGUAUUUCUGUCUAUUCGAAUUGAUGUAAUUUUCUUUACUUGGUGAAUAAGGUCGGAUCAAAGUAGCGAACAAACUAGUCACCGACCAGUACGCCGAUAGAGACAAAUUGUUUGGAGACGUCGUCUCUGCACUGGAAGUUGUUGAAAUGAACUUCUAGAACAAAGCACUUGUACAACACAUCGUUAGAGAUUUGGUUCGCCUGCAAGCGAACAUUGAGACGUGUGCUGAGAGCGAGACCACGAACCGGCCAACAUUCUAGGUGGCAGGAAACCUCCUCUCUGUUGGUGUUGAACCCCAAGGGCACGAUGAAAACUGAAUAGUAGCCGACAAAUAAAGAAAAAUCAAUUGCUACGGCGGUCCGCAGCAGAGACAAACCGAGACAUUGAUCAGAGUCCAGAGAGGGCGAGGGGGCAAUUGAAAGAGCCCCCCGCACGCACGCCGCCGCACGCACAUCGUCCUGCUCCUCUCCUCCUCCCUUCCUCGUGCCCGUCUCUUCCACCUGCGCCUGCGUAGAAAUACAGGGGAACAGAAGAAGCAGGAUUAGUGCGUGCCGCCUGGGCCUCUCGCUCCGCCUAAUCCCCGCUUGCUCCCUAAACCAAUCCAACCCCUUCACAUUAGCCGCGUGCGCGCGAGCGAGCGCCUCGCCGCCCGGCUUUUGGGGCGUCGCCGUGCGGUCGCUGCUGGGUGUUUGUGGUGGUGCCGCCCGCGGACUGAGGUGCCGGCGGCGAUGGCGAUCCGCGGCCCGGACGCGGCAUCCUUCUUCCCGCUCACGCUCCUCUUCUCCCUCGGCUUCUUCUGUGCUCGCUUCCUCCUCGACCGCCUCGUCUACAAGGUACGGAAUCAGCUCCUCCUCCUCCUCGGCCGCCCAGAUUCGCGCUGGGUUCCGCGAGAUCUCGCGGUCCCCGCUCGCUCUCCGCGAGGCAGCGCCCUGCUGCUGCUCGUUUACUCAUUGAUGUUGCUGCUGCGAAUUCGUAACCGAUCAAUGUGAUCCGGCUUAUUUGACGAAUCAUCUCGUGCGCACGUGAUGCAACACGCUGACAGUCACCUGAACGGAAACUGGUCGUUGAUUAAUGGUUGCCUUACUUAUCGAUGAGUACUUCUAUUUCGGAUCAAUGUGCUUCGUUUUUGCCUGUGGUACUACAAUUAAUAGUGAUCUGAGCUUGCUGGUUGCUCUUAUGCCUUGUUGUGGCUCGAGUACUCCGCAGUGAACAAACGUUUGGACGUAUGGUAUGAUGCUUGCGUAAGGAGUGUACGUGAUACAUUACUGCACUUGAUUGUUACCAUCGGUUUCGGUUCCAGCGUAGUAGAAUCCACAUGCAGUAUGCCUGACCAAUUGAUUUAUGUCUUGAUAACUGCUGCAAGGCUCAUAACAUGUUUUUAGAUCAGAAGCUGUACCAGAUCAAGGUGAAAAUCACAGAUGCGUUGCAGGGUAGCGUAUGGGUGGCACGAGGAGAGGGGUGCCUAUAAUUUACAUGAUGUUGUAGGCUACUGAAUAAUAGAACUAUUUUUAUUUAUUUUACACACCCUAAAUUGCCUUGCAGAGGAAUUGAUAAUCAUAUUGUCAUCAACCUGUUAUCUUCUUACUUUCUACUCCCUCAGUCCCAAAUCCACAUCAGUUAAUUUGGGACAGAGGGAGUAUAUGUUUUUUAUUUCUGUCCAAAGUUCUCGAAAUGUCAGUGUGGACAAAAAAAUCACGCCAGAGUAUCUGUCAUUUUAAUCACCACAACUUACAUUUGUUUAUCUGUAUUGUUCAUUUCAGCCGUUGGCAGUUUACCUUUUCACCAGCAAGGGUUCUAAGUUGAUGAAUGAUGAGGCCAGACAAGCAAAGAUUGUCAAGUUCUCAGAAUCCACUUGGAAGCUGACAUAUUAUGCUUCUGUUCAGGCAUGGGUCCUGUUGAUAAUAAAGCAAGAACCAUGGUCAUUGGAUACAAUGCAAUACUUUGAUGGCUGGCCGAAUCAGCCCAUCCCGUGAGUGCAAACUAUACUUCCGUAAAUUACUAAAUUUUUUGGGCUUACUAGUGUGGUAUUAGCUGUUGCCCCUUCAAAUUACUUGGUCUCCCAGUCAAAUUGAAGAAAAUAACUUAUUGCAAUGUAUUAUCCUCUAAAUGUACUAAGUAUGAAGUUCAGAAUAUUCCUGGGCAUUUGAGUGCUUUAUACUGCUGACAGAAGAUUAGUUAUCUCUUAAAUCGGUAACUGUGAAAACACACAUACAUGAUCUCCUUGUUAUGAACAAUUCCCCGUGUUCAUUCUCACACUGAUCAAAUGGACCAGAUUUGAAAGAUAUCAACUUAUCAUUCACGUAUCUUAACUGGAACUCCCAUCUGAUACACUCCCUGGCAUAUUUCUUUGUAACCAUUUAACCUGUUGUUUGGAAUCAUGUGAUAUUUUUCCUUCUUUUUUUUUCCUAAUAUGUGUUGCCUUCUGUCUCUCAGGUCCUUGUUGACACUUUUCUACAUGUGCCAGUGUGGAUUCUAUAUCUACAGCAUUUUUGCCCUUAUUGCCUGGGAAACCCGCAGAAAAGAUUUUGCUGUAAUGAUGUCUCAUCAUGUGGUAACAUCUGUUCUGAUUGGAUAUUCAUAUCUGACUGGGUAAAAUAUUUUUAGCCCCUUUAAUAGUGUAUUUUCUGGAUUUGUAAUUGCAACAACUUAGUUCUGCUAUGUUCUGAGCUUAUAUAUUUAUGGUCAAUUUUGGUCAUUAUGCGUCUAGGAGGUGAAUAAUCAUCAAUUACCAAUCAAUUGCGCAAGAAUUCAGUGAUUGUGCAGUGUGCACUGAACUUUGAUAAUAUCCAGUUCUUUCUAGUUACUUGCUGGUUUGAUUCCUUGAGAUGAACAUAGUUAUGUAAGAAAAUAUAUGUUUCUUAAAAAAUGUAAGAAAAUUUGGAAAUUGGAAGCAGGUCUUAUAGUGACAAGGAGAGAUCAAUGUAACCCUUGCUGUUGAUUGAUCUGAAUAUUCUGUUAAGCGAUCCUUGAUUUGGAAUUUUUCCCUGCAGCAUGAUUGUGUCAUCUAACUUUACACAGAUAUUUUUGAAAAUCAUUGUGCUUCAGUGCCAUACUUCUAAUUUAGCCCUUCUCUUUGCAGCUUAUUUAUUGCAUCUAGCAGUACGCAGAUAUUUCUGUAAAUUGCCGUGCUACAUAGGGACAAUUGUUCUUUGUUUGCAUGAUGCGAGUGAUGUAUUUCUUUCUUUUGGUUACGAGCUUUCAUAGGAUAUAGUUGACUUUUACAUUGUAUCAGUCGAGAUCAACAUUUCAACACAUUCUAAGGCAACUAAAGUUGGUUUUCUGCAGAUUUUUUCGAAUAGGGACAAUUAUUCUUGCUUUGCAUGACGCGAGUGAUGUUUUUCUGGAGACCGCCAAAUUGUGUAAGUACACAGAAAAGGAACUAGGGGCUAGCUUGUUUUUUGGGCUUUUUGCUCUCUCCUGGCUCCUAUUGCGUCUGAUUUACUUCCCAUUUUGGAUAAUCAAAACCUCAAGGUUUGUUUUCUAUGCCUUAAUGAUUUGUUGUGUUUCUUUUACGUUCCAAGGUUGAAACCUACUGUUCUUGUUCUUGCAAUUUCAGCUAUCAGUCCAUCAUAUCCUUGAGGAAGCUGGACAGAUUCCCGACGACCUUGUACUACAUUUUCAACACAAUGCUCCUCACAUUACUCGUGUUUCAUAUGUACUGGGGGAAACUCAUAUUUUUAAUGAUAAUGAGACAAUUGAAUAAUAAAGGAAAGGUUGGAGAGGAUGUUCGAUCUGGUAAGAUUUUUUUUCGGGUGCAAUUACUUGUUGGUUGAUUUGCAUUCAUCCUUUUCAGUCCUGGCUGUUGUUAUUCUGAUAUCUACAUACUUCUGUUGCAAUUACCUGCAUUUUUCCAUUUUUGUGUUGAUUUGGAUUCACCCUCUUCCUUCCAAAGAAUGCAAUGUUUAACCUUGUUGGCUAUUCCUACAUGAAACAUGAGAACCCUGGUUUCACAAACUAUAAGAGGGAAAAUCAGUCUGGCAUACAUGAUGAAUUAAUAACCCUGCAUUUCAAUUUUGGCUAGUUACAUGAAUAGAAUCACAAGAUCACAUAAGAAAUCAUAUAUUAAUCAAAUUACCUUUUGGCAAAUGGCUCUGGUACAUUGUUUGGGAGCCCCCUUACAUCAUAGACAGAUAUAGAUAUUUCAAUUUUCAUUGGACCAGAAACUAUUAACACAGGGUUUUGUUAGUUCUGAUAAUUAAGCUAUUGGAUUUUGUCGCAAUGCAGAUUCGGAGGAUGACGAGUGAUAGGGGAGUUUCUUUGACAAUUAUGAUGUGCCAUGUCUCUGCUCUGCGCAUGUUUGCCAGAGUUGAUUGUACAUUGCCUUGUGAUAUCAAACAUGGCUAGACCAAGAAACUGAGCAGGUUCGAUAUAAUAUCAAACAUGGCUAGACCAAGAAACGGAGCAGGUUCUUACAUAGCGGGUAUAGCUAGGAACUUACUUGAAGAUCGCUUCAUAAUUUUCAGUUCAUCUUUCUUUGUUAUUAGAAAAGAUUUAAGAGGUCGUUUUCUGUACCUUUUUCCAAAGCUUAGAGACCCCUCUGUACCAUAUUUUGUAUACUGCGACUAUGAGUAGGUUUAGUUCUAAUUCAUGGGAAGGAAUAAAUUGAUUCUUUGAUCAGGAGUGAAUCUCACCUGUAUCUUAAUCAUGUCAAGUGAGGUCUCAAGAGUCUCAUGCAGCUACAUAUAAAUUUUCGAAGGUGAUGAUUUGUCUUAGUUUUGGUGUCCGUAUCUGUAUGUUUGAGUACUUGACUAUUCAUUUUUCUAUUCUUGUAUUUUUCCAAUCCUGUGAAUCAAAGAGACCCUUAUUAUGUGAAAGCAGACCAUGUUUUUCCUCUGGUGUCAUGCAGAAACAUGUUUCGGCGUCUCACCUUCCUGUAAUUCAAGCGAGAAACCUCAAUUGCUCUGACAUUAGACAUACUGAGCUAGGGCAUCCCCCAGUAUUGGUGUGCCUGCAUCGAUGCUCGAGUAAAGUACUCUCACGACCACUCUACUUAGCUGAAAACUCAGUUUGGUCACUGUAUUUUGGAAAGUGAAACUGAUAUCACUUUGCUUGGCGUAAUUUCCCCCACUUAGGGUCCUACGGGCAUAUUAGUCCGUAUUUUGAUGAUGUGGUCUAUGUUACUACUCCCUCUGAUUCUAAAUUGUUGAUUCAAAUUUGUCUAAAUAUGGAUGUGUCUAUUCUUAAAAAAUGUCUAGAUAUAUAUAAUUUUUGGACAACAUUUUAGUGUCUAGAUACAUGUAAUAUUUCGACAACAAUUUAGAAUCGGAGGGAGUACUAUUGACUGAACACUUCUGUUGACUACGUGGCACACAACCACCUAUGUGGUUGACUCCUUUUAUCUACUCGCAGUCUCCCCUUGUUCCUCUCGGACAAUUGUACAGGGGAACUAAACAGAAGCAGGGGCAAAGUGAAAAAACCACAAUGCGUGCACUGUACUUCCAAAAUGUGUGUUCCUUGUUGACGAUCUACGUGUUAGUUGUAGUCAACUUGUUGUAGUUGGUCAUUCAUAUGUAUUCCUUCUAUUUCAUGAUUUUUGUCGAAACAUUACAUGUAUCUAAACACUUUUUAGAAAUAGAUACGUCCAUUUUUUUAAUCAAAUUUGAGACAAAAAUUAUGAAACAGAGGGAGUAUAUUUUUUCGUGGAGUGAAUACUUCAGAGAUGUUUUCUAGUUUUAUGUUGUUGUAUUUCUGAAUUAAUCAUAACUCCAGCUCCACAAAAAAGUAAAACUAUGCCAGCUCGUUUGGCAUCCAGGAAUUGGGCUGAGAAUCGUGGAAUUCAUUUCGCAAUUCCGGACCAAACAAGUUUGGCGGCCAGGGAAUUGGGCCUUGGAAUUCAAUCACCGAUUUCAUGGAAUCCCGCGAUAUCUAAACCCAAUUCCCCUCUCGAGGCCGUCAUUCUUCCGGAUUUGACGUCGCUUUCUCCUCCAACCCAGCUCCUUCCUCUCCCCCGACCGUUCUCCUCGCCCUCCCUGCCGCCGCCAUGGUGCUCGUCCUUCCCGCCGCAGGUGACCCUUGCUGCUGCCGGUGAGCGGAAUCAUCUCCGCCCCCUCCCCCGCCUCCCUCCUCGUCCAGUCCUCUUCUCCAUACGUCCCUUCCCCCUCGAGCUCCUAUUGCCGUUUGCUUGAUUCCGUCCCGCCUCCAGUGAUCUCUGUUGUGGAUCUCUGUCUCCAGUGAUCUCCGUUGUGAAAUUCAUGUGGUAGCCAAACAUGAUUUUUGAAUUUGGAAUUCAUUUCAACCAAAUGAAAUCAUGUGGAAAAUUUGAAUUCAUUUCAUUUCUACCAAAUGAAAUGAUAUCCUAGUCGCCAAACGAGCUGUGCAUGAUUUGUUUCAUCAAAUUGGAGCUAAAACUGUCCCAAACACAAUCUUAAAUCACACAUCAGAAUACGUUUACAAGUAUAAUGAGUAAAGUGACCGUACCUACGAUAUUUCAGCAAGCUCAGUUGAGAGUCACUUUCAUUUUUUUCAAAAUACAGCGACAAAAGCGAAUUUUCGUGCUAAGUACAGUCACGGUGAGUGUUACUCUUGACGCGGCGUGCCAAUAAACCGAGCGUUCCAGUCAAUCCACACUCCACGGGGUCUGUCGCAGCCGCCACAGCACUCGUGCCUUACAGCCGGGUCACGCUGCAGCCAUGCGAGUGCGCCGCCACAAGCCCACAGCAUGCUGGCUGCCGCACGCACCCUACUAGUGUUGCCUUUUCUUUUCUUUUUUUUUUUUGAGGAAAAGCCAAAGGAACGGAGGAUGGAAUAAAUCAAAGGAAAGGAAAAGAGCGGUAAGGAGCCAUAUGCUUUGUGGUACACCUGCACAGCAAUACAGCAUGGGCACAUUCCAAUGAGAAGAAAUGUAUAAAGCGCAAUAAUCUCUAGUUCAACAACUGUCAUGACGGACUGACACUUCAUCACGCAAUUAUUUUUUGACGUGGAACAAUUAAAUAUUCCGUUUGACCCAUAUUACUUGUCGUUGAUUUAGUGCGACAAGUAAUAUGGGUCGGAGGGAGUAGCAUAACACAUUUGGAAUGCAGAAACAACUUGAAAAGCUAAUGUAAAAACUGUUAUGUACACAUCCAUAAUUCGUCCUAAAGAAAGCAUGAGCUACACAACCCAGAAUUUUGUGCAGUGUGAGAAUAUGCUGAACAAGUGAGCAUAUAGAAUUUUCGAUCAGGAAAAACGACCUUCAAGACCAGAGCAUUGAACAUGUGGUGAAUACCGUGAAAUAAUAACCUGCAAAGGCAAGAUAAUCCAAACACUGCUAGUCCUUUGCCUGACCGCGAAGAAACCCUGCCCACCCCAGCUUGUUCAAUAUAUGAACCGCGGGUGGAACAGCAGAAUUCUGCAACAGCCAAUCAGCAAACGAUUCAGACAUGGGUCAUCGAAAAAACUCACCUGAUGCUGCGAAAUGAUGGGAGCAGCCACCGACUUAGUCCAAAUUUAAAAUAUAAACACAAGAGUAUGAUAUGAAUAAAAAGACCAAAAUUCGUUGGUUUGAACGAAAACAUAUCCGGAUCAGAAACACUUCAAAGCCUUUUGUGGCAUUGGAAUUGAGAUGGCAACAGGAGUGUAUUUGGAUUACACGUGUUCUUACUUCCAUACGCUUGAAACGAACAGCAGCUAACAGCUUAGGAUCGGAACACA
rnacentral:lncRNA from 1 species